AAUCGAGUUUAAAAGGGCAUUAGAUAAAAGUGUUAAUUCAUAUAGUUCCUUGCAAAUAUAGUAAAUAUGUAGUGAAUGAGAAAUAUAUUUUUACAAAAUUCAACUUUCAUAUAUUGUUUCUAUAAAAAUUUUGAUAUUUUCAAAUAUAUCCCUACCGUUAAAAUCGGUUAGAAAAAUUUAUUUAACCAUAGGUUAAAUAUUGAAGCUUGAUUAGUUUUUGAUAUUUUUACCCUUUUAUAUUAUACUGUUAUGGUUUUUAGAGGAACAUAUUUGUGAUGACAAAAUUGAAAAUAUAAACGAUUCUUUAACAAUAACAAACCAGAGAGACAUUUGAAAAUAUUAAAACUUUUAUAGGGACAAUAUAUGAAAGUUGAACUUUGUAGGGAUAUAUUUGUAAUUCACUAUAUUUGUAGAAAUCUGUAUGAAAUUAAUUCUAGAUAUAUAAAAUUGUUUGUUUUGUAGUGGUGUACCUUACAUAAACAAAUGAUUACAAAAUGAAUGGUCUAAACUAGUGAACUCCAAGCAGUGAGAUACAAGAAGAGAAAAAGGUGAGAUCAUGCUGCCAAUCCGAGCUCACAAGUUGGAGUGCAGUGAUAUGUUACCCACUUCAUUCAUUAGAAAAAGUUUGUGGGUUUCACAAUCUUAAUUUUAGAGAUUUGAAUUGUCUACCACCCACGGGGUUGCUGAUACAACUGUUAGAUUUUUAGCAGAAUUAAUCUGUGCCACCUAUAUUGAACAGUGCAGGAUAAUUAUACUAAAAAUCAAUGGCGGGAUGAAUCUUGUGAGAAGAAAAUCCUGCACACAGAAUUGUAAGCUUUUGCUUCCUUGAUUUAGUACCUUAUCUGUCCGAAGUCAAAAAACCGAUCUCAAAAUGUUCUAAAAAUUCAUGUUUCCAGAGAAUCCAGCUACAGAAGAACCAGGAACAAAGAGCUCUCCCUUUUGCCUGCUUGAUUCGUUGGUCGAUAGGAGGAUCUCGUCAGUUGGUGGAUGCAGAUGCAAAUUCAAUCCAACUUCAGCCUUGUCCAAUGGACCAAUAUGGGCCAAAUGGGCUCCAUUUAGCCCAGACCACAAUUCACACAGGCCCAUUACAUUUGAUGGGCUUAAACACAUUAGUCUAGACAGGGUUGACCGGGUCGGAUCCCCAGUGCUUUGAAAAUUUGACCCGGUUGGACUUUGCACGGGUCUAAUCAAUACCAUAUUUUAGGCCGAUGUUAGGACACAUUCGGUUCGUAAUUGAAAAAUAAAAUAAAAUAAAAUUUGAUUAUAUUAGAGUAAAAAGUAAAAUAAUAUAUCAUUCACAAUUUUGAAUUUAUUGUUGAAAUGAAAACCAAAACAAACUAUUGGGAUAUUUAUGAAGUAAAAGAAAAUUUUGAAUAAUUUACCAAUUAAAAAUUCAAAAUUAGAUUGAACUAUAAAUUGCUGGGACCAUUCCGAUUCUAGAAUUGAAUGCAAAUUAAAAUCUGUUUUCACUAAAAUAAAUAACAACUAUCGAACUCAAUUGAUUUUAUUUUGAUUGAGGGCCUAAAAUCUAAUGGUUAAUGCAUUUUUAUUCUAAAAUAGACAGCAAACAUUAUAUACUAAAUCAAGAUAAUUAUAAAUACAAAGAUAAGAAUGGUAAUAUUGGGCUUGAUGCCGUUGACGGACAUAUUAAAAAGAGGAAAGGGACAAAAGUAAAAAAACAAAUAGAGUUUAAGGGAGGUAAAAAAAAAAAUUAAUUGGAAAAAAAGAGUGAAACUUAAAUUAGAAAAAUUGGGAAGAUAAGUCAGAAGAUAGAUGCACAUCGCCCUUCGUUUGCGCUCUCUAAUCUAAUAUAUAUAUAUAUAUAUAAUAAUCUAAUCUCCAUUCUUUGCUAUAUAUGAUAACUCCCACGGGUCUCCCCCUUUUCCCAUUUCGAGGCUCUCCAUUCAUUCGACAACGCCAAUAAGCGAAGAGAGAGAGAGAUAGAGAGAGAGAGAGAGAGAGAGAGAGGGGGAGAGAGAGAGAGAGACCUCGUCUCGCGAAGGAGAGGGGAUCGCACGGAGGAGGCGACGCCAUGAUGGAUCCCUCCAGCGGCGGCGGCGGCGGCGGCGGCGGAGGAGGAGGAGGAGGGGAAGGAGGAGGCGGAGCGGCGGGGGCGAUGGAGUCGUGGGCGGCGGAGGCGGCGCGGCGGUACCAGCACCUGCUCGACCGGGCGACGCCGCACGUGGGGCGGCGGUGGGUGGGGCUCGGCGCCCUCGCCCUCGUCUACGCCGUGCGCGUUUGGUUCGCCCAGGGGUUCUACAUCGUCUCCUACGCCCUCGGCAUCUACGUCCUCAACCUCUUCAUCGCCUUCCUCUCCCCCCAGGUCGACCCCGAGGUCGAGAGCCUCGGCGACGGCCCCGCGCUCCCCACGCGCUCCUCCGACGAGUUCCGCCCCUUUGUGCGCCGCCUCCCCGAGUUCAAGUUCUGGUGCGUAACCCCUUCAAAAUCGGUUCUUUCGAUCUGUUUGAUGCGUGAUCUCUGGUGGGCAGAGGAAGGAUUUGAUGUUCUUGUUUAUAAGUUUAGGGUUUUUAUGCGGUAAAAUUGGUGAUUUGACCUAAAUAGAUUAGUACCAGGACAUGAUAAUGCGGAUUGAGCAUUCCAGGGUACUUGCAGUUUGUGGGAGUUAUGUGAUAUCGGCAGAUCUAGGAGGGAUUUGCUUGAAAGCUGAAUAAUUGGCGUAGAAAUGAAAACUUUGUAGCUUGGCCCGGGUAUUGAUUUCUCCCUGGAAUAGAUAUUGGUGUUCUUACAUCUUAACAUUAGUUAUGUUAUCUUUUCUCUUUCUUGUGAGGACGAUUUUUCAGUUUAGGAACGACAGCUCUAUGUCGGAUCUCCUGGUGUUGCUAACUCUCUUUGCUACAUGGAGUAUGAUGGGCAGAAAGAAAUAGAAUUAAUAGGCGUAAAGAUGGUCAGGAGAGUUGAAGAUUAAGCCUGUUUCUGCAUCCGCGUUUACUUGGAAUUUUAAUGAAUUGAAAUUCGUGUAAAUGCGUAUGUUCUUGCUUAUUAUCAUUGUGCUUAGGAUGUGCAACCUCUUGUAAGGCCUAAUCAGGAAAUAUAUGUUGCCCAUAACACUAAUGCUUUGAUUCUUUAGAGGGUCUAAACACUUCCAUUAUCAAGCUUUUCUUCUCUAAUGCUAUGAAAUAAUGUUGGCACCAGAGAAGCAUUUGGUGUAACGUGCUCUCAGGGUGAUUCCGACGACAAUAUUUGAGCAUCAAAGGAGGGAAGUUCUAAAUUUCUUUUAGGCCCUUAAAAGUGUCAGAGUCGAUGGGGAAUUUUUAGGCCCUUAAAAGUGUCAGAGACAAUGCACCACAUUUCCAAACGGGGUCUGCUAGAAGCUUUUCAUUACAAAAUGUUGUUGUAGUUGUGAUCCUAGUUAGCUACCUUUGUACAUCGUUGAUUUAUUGAUUUUAUGUUCUUAAAAAUGUCUUAUUAUUAGUCAUGCUGUUUAGCUGCUCUUUUACAAUAUUGGUUGUUUGGUUUGAUGGAGAUACUAAUCUAUCUGGUCCUUGUCUGCUUAUUUUCUAUGUUGAUGUCUAAAUCUGUUGGUGCAUUAUCAUUCCAGCCACUUCUGAAAAGAAAUUUAUGUUAUUUGUAAACACUGUCUGAUGCUUGCUUGUUGUUUGGGAUGCUUGCCUGAGUUGGGUAGUUAAUUGAUUAAUUUGUCUCAUCAAAAAUAAAUUUAUGGUCGACCAAAGUAGGUUUUAUAAAUGGAUAUAAACGAUGACUAAAAUUAGAAUUCAUUAGCAAUUCUAUUUUGGCUUUAUUUUACCAUGCAAGUUAUCCAGCCGAAAUAACCACUAAAUGGGAGAAAAUGAGUGGAAAGUUCAACAAACUGCAAGAUUACAUCACAAGAAAAAGUCUAAUCUCAUAUUUCCUUCUAAUGCCAUUCUCAGGUUCUAUCUUGUCCUUGUUAAUACUAGGUAAUUUAUAGCAUCCUUAUCCUGGUGAUGCUUUCUCAUAUCUAACCAAUAGUUUUAUCAUCCUUACCGUGUCACUUGGCAUUUCUUUCUCAUAAGCGGAUGACUAUUGAAAUGAGGGAAAAUAAUCUCAAGUUUUAAGUUCUCUACUAGAAAAGACAUAAGAUGGGCAUAUAUAAAGAUUAAGAUUCUCACUUCUCCAAUAAAAAGUUGAUCAGUUGCCUUAGUCAUUAUGUGAUUAGUUAGUGGUUGGUGGUGCUUGAGCUUCUACUCUUUGAUUAAGCUACUUUUGUGUCCUGACAGCCCUUCCAGCUGCAUCUUCAAAUGCAAUUUAUCAACAGUUCUGCAUGAUUUUUUAACUUAACCGGUCUCUUUCUUUCUUUUGCUUUUUUUCUAAUCAUCGAAAUUUGUUUCUCUUAGGCAGGAGAGAUUAUGCUUGGCCGUCGUGCAUGCCCUUUCUUUGUGUAGUAGUCCACUUUGUCAAUUGAUUUAUUGACCUUACAAAGGCUGUUGAGUCGUUAGAGCUAUCUGUACUUUCAUAACUAGGUGCAAUUAAUAACUUUCCAUUUUCUCCUGUGCAGGUAUUCACUUACUAAAGCGGUAUGUAUCGCUUUCGUGGCGACAUUCUUUAGUGUGUUCGACGUGCCAGUGUUUUGGCCGAUUCUACUUUUCUAUUGGUUUGUGUUGUUCACGGUCACAAUGAAGCGACAAAUUCUUCAUAUGAUUAAAUACAAAUACGUUCCUUUCUCCUUUGGGAAGCAGGUAAGUCGAGCUCAAUAUUAAUUAGAAAAUCUUCUAGUUUUCUAUCACGUUUAAUUUCUUAAUCUUUGGCUUUCUUUUUCAGCGCUACACUGGGAAAAGGGCAGCUUCUGUCGACACCGAAAUUCUUCCUAAAGAUUAAAUAUUACCAUUGGGAUCGAAAUGCUAUUCUUAGAAGAUAGCUUUGCAGGGUAAUCCAGAGUUAAAAGAUGAUUUACUUUUUCUCAGAUCGAAGGAUUAGUGAUUUUCUUUUCUAGUAAACAUUUGGUGUCAAAAGUAAAGACUGGGAAAACCUUUUGGGAUCCCGAACUUACAGCCAGCUUCAGGAAACCAGUUAUAUCUCCCCCUCUUUUCUUGUAUCUGAUUUUGUUAAUGCAAUAUCAAACCAAGCAUAAGUUUUACUGUAUCAGAUAAUUGGAGGUGGCUAAAUAUGCCAACUCUUAGUUCUAAUUUAUCGCUCUUUGUAAACGUUCCUUGUACUGAGGUAUUGGGGAAUGAUCAACUCUUUAGAAGAAUAAAAUUUGAGCAACAUCCUCGAUCAAACCUGGGAUUUCUCAUGUGUCUUGCUGCAAGCAGGAAAGUUCGUAUGUUUUCUUUCAUUUCGUAUAAUAGUUCAGGGAAUUUCACUUGAUUAGUUCGUCUCACAGUUGAUUUAAUUGCGUGGAAGAAUCUAAGUUGUUGAACCUAUAAUUUUGAAAUCAUAAUAUUUAAUUAAUGGUACAUACAUAUUUAAUGGUGCAUAUUGUUGAUUCAAAAUAUCUUUAGUUGGUACAUCACCUGUAAAUCAUAUGUACGUAUACUUUCCCACCGCAAACAAAGAUCACUUCCUCACAAUACACACGGACAGGUCGGUAGUACUAGUACAUGAACCCUCCUUAGUCCUUACUCGCCUAAUCGAACGCGACGGUAUCACACAUGGCCUUCGCCGCCGCGCUCCUCCUCGCGCGAGGCGCCCCGCUCCUCCUCCUCCGCUGGAGCGCGCGCGCCCCCCGCGCUGGCGCCGGGGCCGCCGCGCUCGGGGCGGCGCGCCGUCACCUCUCGGCGCUCUCCACCGCCGACGACCUCCCUCCGCCAGCGCCGCCGCCGCACGUCGACGGCGGGGUCGGCGCUCCGCUCGGGGCCAAGGGCCCCGCUCCCCCCUCCCUCUCCAAGGCCUGGGCCGACGAGCCCGGGUUUCGCCGGUGGAAGGAUAAGGAAGCCGAGAUCCUUAGCGACAUCGGGCCCAUCAUCGCCCUCACCAAGAAUAUACUCCACUCCAACAGGUACCGGAGAGCUCGAAUUAGAAUUAUGGUGGUAGGUCAUCGGGUAAUCCUUUUUUGAGAAAGCGGAUUCCUCAAACAGUGGUUUCUAAUGGCGUUUCCUGGACUCAAAUGUCCUGAUAAAUUGAUUGGAGAAUCGAUCUCCCUUUUUCUGCAAUCUUUCGUGGCAAUUGAGAUUACUCACGCUAUAUGAUAUGUAUGUCGAUUGCAUUCUUUUUCGGCGAAGCCAACAGUAGAAAAAGUGCUUUUUUUCUCUGUACAAAUGAAGCUUUUUCUACACUUGUUGGUUUGCACCACUAAUCAUCUACUACUUUGGCAUGUUAUGGGAAGCUUUAUGCUACAGAACAUGGAAGUGAAGCACUAGAGAGCUCCACGAACUUUGUGUGUUACAAAAAUGAAAAUGCUUAAGAUAAGAAGGCAACUUAAACUCUAAAUGCGGAAGCCAUGAAAAGGGCACGGAAGCUAAAGACGACUUGAGUUGAAUUUAGCGAAUUGGAAAAUAUAUGUAAGUUUUGCAGCUUGUGCUCAAGCAGCUCAUUAACCGAAAGCUUUUAGGGAGCAAAGUGAUAACUUCGACCUGGGGAGUCCCAUUCUUCUAGGAAUCACGAAAAAUGAAAAAUCAGUGAUAGGCGGUCGCACUAUGUGAAUGUACUCAACCAAGUUACGUAUUUCAUAGUGCGAGAAGCAUAAGACUUAGGUGUGAUACCUGUAAAUUUUUACAAAAACAGAUGUCAUGAGAUGACGAGAAAAACUAAAGUAUCACUGCCUGAUGAUUCAGUGCAAUGAUGCUUCAGUUUGAUUGUUGGUAAACGUCGAGGAUUUUCUGAAGACUGAGCAAAGAUGAGGAAAUUGGUUGUAAAUUUUCCAUUUUCCCUUGGAGUUGGAUCAUCUGGAAACCAAGCAAGUAAAACUUGCUUAUAGGUUGCUUACGAAUUGAAGCAAAAGAUUUUUCAAGGCGGUGUAUGCGGAGGCCAGGAAGAUCUGCAGUGUUACUACUCGUCGAGUCGCAAUUUUCACAAUGUUGUAUGGUCUGCCACAGUUUAUUCUACCCUUUUAACUGACUCAUUUUGCAGCAGAUACAGGGAUGGUGAACAUCUAAGUGCAGAGGACCAGAAGGCUGUUGUAGAAAAGCUUCUCGCCUAUCAUCCACAUUCAGAGGAUAAGAUUGGUUGUGGCCUCAACUCCGUAAUGGUAAGUCCCCAAUUCAUGAUCUUGCAUAUUUUCUCUUGAAUAUUAGCUGUACAAUCUUAUAACAUUUUACCUGUAUUUUAGUUGUUUUAUAUUCACACAAUUUUGUUUAUUUGCACAGAUUCGUAUGAAUAAAUGUAGUUCGUAAUCAAUAUCACGUUGUGUGCCUUAAUUAAACUGGUAAAAUAUUUGAGCGAAAAUGAAGGCAACUUCAGGGCCCAUUUAAUUGAGCUGCAGUGUGACAUUGUUAGAUGACAUUCAGUUGCUCGUUCUUUUUUGUGCCUGCCUUAUUUCUCUUUCCCUUGUUUUUUUUAUUUUUUCUGCAUUAUCAGCAUCUCAUGCAGGGAUUUUCAAUCCAUUGGUUAUGGAUGAAAAUACCACAAAAUUUAGAAAGAUUUAAGCUGUGGACUGUUAAAUAUUAAUAUACAUGUACGAUUUUUUUAAAGCUUGUGCAUCUUCCUUGCCUUUUGGCAUGAUUGACUACUUUAAGUUAGUGUUUGCCAAUUUUGUUAAAAAGGUUUUACCAAAAAUCCUUUUAAAUUGAACAUGAACUUUCACAUAACUUGUCUUCUUUGUUUCUUUUCUUUUUUUUUUUCUGUAUUUAGGUCGACAGACAUCCACAAUUCAGAUAUUCAAGGUGCCUCUUUGUUGUACGAAAUGACGGUGGCUGGAUCGAUUUCUCAUACCAGAAAUGUCUUCGAGCAUACAUCCGAGAGAAGUAUCCAUCUCACGCAGAGAGGUUUAUCCGAGAACAUUUCAAACGGAACUGAAGGUGAGGUGAAACCUGUCUUAGGGGUUCUUGUGAUGGCUAGCAUAGUAAUUUGCUGAUCUUUUAGCUCACCAUCUUCAAUCAUUCCCAGGCCGUUGAAAUUUAGAGUUUGGAUGUAUGAACUAGGCUCCAAGGAAGCACAAUUUUAUGAACUGGAUAGUGCAAAAAUUUAUCAGAUUAGUUAUCUGUUUUGCCUCUAAACUAUUUCUCUAUAUCAGAUUCACCGAAUGCGGAAUUAUUUGCUGUAUCCUGUGACUUUUGUUAAAACUCGGCGAAAAGCUUAUGCAAAUUUGGUUCUUCGUACUCUGUAUUACACCUCUGGACUCUUUUUGUUGUGUAUUUGAAAGCGAGAAAAAAAGUUUAAAAAAAUAAAAAAGACAGAGAAUCACCCUUGACUUUUGUGGAAGCUUUUACGUUUGUCCCAAUCUUUUUAUUGUGGGGAUGAAAUCGUAUUUUGUUCUUAUAUCCUGUUUACCCUUGAUUGAUGAUAUUAUAAUAAUAAUGUGUGAAAGUAAUUCAGGCUAAAUUACACUUUUAGUCCUCAAACCACAAGGCGUGUAAAAUUUUAAUUUAUUAUAAUUUUUAACAUAAGUUUUUAAAUUAAGUUUUAUAAUUUAAUUUAUAGUUUAUUAAAUGCUGAUAUAUAACCGAUGUGUAGGUAAUAUUAUAUUUGGAGUACAGCAACUUAUAGAUUCCUUUAUACUCAUAAAUUUUCAAACAUAAAAUUUCGGCCUUUGAACGAAAAAUGUGAUGUUAGGAUGAUUAGUGAUUUUCGGUUACGGUGAUAAUGGUCUUUUAGGGUUGAGUGGAUGAUUGUUGAAUAGUAUAAUUUAACGGAUGGAAUUGAUUAAAGAGAUAAAUUUAACCGUUAAAAAUUUAUGAAUAAAAAAGGAUAUAUAAUGAUAAGAGUAUAAUAGUUAGACUCAUUUCUAUUUUUUGUAUUAUUAUUGGAUUAUCAGUAACAGUAUCAUUAUAUAUUUAGUUGGAGGACCAAUCGUGUAAUUUUGCCCUGCUGACUUCUUCAGCUCUCUGCUGCCGCACCCCGGACGAUAUUCUUUCUCCCUCCCCAACCCGACGUCCCUCCUUCUUCUUCUUCUUCUUCUUCUUCUUCUUCUGUAUCUCUCUCUGCUCUUCAUGACCGCAUGAGAUGGGCCAGAGCCCACCCCCACUCUCUUCUCCGGAGAUCCAACCCCCAUCAUCUGCAUCUCCUCCUCCACCCCAUCGCCACCAUCUCCCUCUCCGCCGAGCUCUCCCUGACCGAGUCCCUCGUCUCCCUACUCCACUCCCUCGUCCGCAGCGGCGUCGUCUUGCUCGCCAUGGCCGUCUACAACCGCAUGAUCAAGUCCGACUGCCGCCCCAAUCGCGCCACCUACAACAUCCCAAGGCCGUCGAGGCCUUCGCCCGCAUGCCCGACUUCGGCGCCCGCCCCAACACCUUCGUCUUCAACACCCUCCUCCGGGCCCUCGUCCGCAGCGGCGUCGUCUUGCUCGCCAUGGCCGUCUACAACCGCAUGAUCAAGUCCGACUGCCGCCCCAAUCGCGCCACCUACAACAUCCUCAUGGACGGCCUCUGCAAGGCCGGCAUGGCCGACGACGCCCUCGCCCUGUUCGACGAAAUGCUCGGCCGAGGCAUCCCCCCCAACACCGCCAUCUACACCGUGUUCCUCUCGUCCCUCUGCAAGGCCGGUAAGCUCGACGAGGCGAGCGGCCUCUUGCACUCCAUGAGGCGCAAGGGGUGCGGCCCCGACGCCAUCACGUACAACGCGUUGCUGAGCGGGUUCUGCAAGCUGGGCCGCAUCGACGAGGCUUUCCAGCAUUUGGAGUCGUUCCGGGAGGAGGGCGGUUUCGUUCUCGGAUUGAGCGGGUACAGCUGUUUGAUCGACGGCCUGUUCAGGGCGGGGCAGUUCGACGAGGCGUGUCGGCAUUACAGGGAGAUGCUGGAGAGGAAUGUGGCGCCGGACGUCGUCCUCUAUACGAUAAUGAUCAGAGGGCACGCCGAGGCCGGUAGAAUCGAGGAUGCUUUCGCGUUCUUGGGCGAGAUGUCUAAUCGCGGUCUAGUCCCCGACACAUUCUGCUAUAACACUCUCAUUAAGGGCCUCUGCGACGCGGGUUAUCUUGAUCGGGCGCGUUCUCUCAGGUUGGAGAUCUCGCAGAACGACAGGUUCCCCGACUCGGCCACGUACACUAUCAUGAUUUGCGGGCUGUGCAAGGAAGGUCUUGUUCACGAGGCGCAGCAAAUCUUCGAUGAGAUGGGGAAGCUAGGGUGCUAUCCGACGGUCAUGACGUUUAAUGCGCUCAUUAACGGUUUUUGCAAGGCUGGGAAGCUAGAAGAAGCCCGCAUCCUGUUCUAUAAGAUGGAGAUGGGACGAAACCCUUCUCUGUUCCUUAGGCUCUCCCACGGGGCCAACCAGGUCCGCGAUAGCGAGAGCCUUCGUCGGCUGGUCGAGGAGAUGUGUCAGUCGGGGCUUGUUCUGAAAGCGUAUAAGCUUCUCCGAGGUAUAAUAGACAGCGGAGUUGUGCCCGACGUUGUCACGUAUAACAUACUGAUCAAUGGCUUAUGUAAAGUGGGGAAUCCGGAUGGGGCGCUGAAGCUCUUCAAAGAGCUUCAAAUGAAGGGGCAUUCCCCUGACGCAGUCACUUACGGGACGUUAAUCGAUGGGCUCAUGAAGGCUCACCGAGAAGACGAUGCUUUCAUGGUGUUUCAGCAUAUAUUGCGGGGUGGGUCCACCCCUAGCUUGUCGAUCUACAGCACCCUCAUGAGAACUUUGUGUAGGAAGAAGAGAAUAUCGCAAGCAGUGAACCUCUGGUUGAACUACUUGUCUCAACAGUGCCAAAAUCCUCAAGAAGCUGGAGUAGUUGCAGCGGUGAGGAAACAUUUUGAGGACGGUGAGUUAGAAGAAGUAAUAAGAGGCUUAAUUGAUAUGGAUCGGAAACACGGUUCCGUUCGUCCAUUUCCGUACACAAUUUGGCUUAUUGGGUUUUGUCAGGCGAGAAAAGUCGAGGACGCUCUUAGGAUUUUUAACAUUCUGAGAGAGCUCGACAUUGACGUUACUCCGCCAAGCUGCGUCCUUCUUAUUAAUUGCUUAUGCAGGACUAGGGAUCUAUCCUCGGCAUUGGAUGUUAUGCUCUAUGCAUUGAGAAAAGGUUUCAAUUUUAUGCAACCAGUUGGCAAUCGCCUACUUAAGAGACUUUGUGUUGAUAACAGGAAGCAGGCUGCCAAAGCCCUCGCAUGGCGAAUGCAUCUUGCUGGAUACGAUAUGGACGCAUAUCUGCGGGAUACUACUAAAGUCCUAUUAUACAAUCAUUAGAAGUCUCUCUUGUAUUUUACUUACGACUUCACCGUUUCUUUCAAGACUGAUUGUAGGAUUUUCGUAUAAUUGGAAGAAGUUGCUUGGGUAAAUUACCCAUUUUCAAAAUGAAGCAGCUGCAGAGGGGGUACCAAACUUUGUAUGGUUGGGUGUUUUUUUGACCCCUACAGUAGUUUGUAACAUCAAUAAUAAGGUAAGGUAGUUGAUGAGGAUUUUUUUUUUUCUUUCUAAUUUAUUUCCUUAUAUUAUGCUCUCUCAUAAGUUUCUGAUUGCUCUUCUUCACGCAGUUUAAUAUUAUUUUGAAGUUGAUAUCUCCGUAAUCACAAAUUAGCAACCUUAGUAAACCUUUGAAAGUGUAUAUAACCACUAACUCGAAUUGCAGUUAUUCUGAAUUCAUCAGUCAUUUUUGACUCUAGAAUUUCCCCCUUCUAAGCAUUUCAAGAAUGAGAGCAUUCUCAGCCUCAUAACCCUAAUUCUCAAGUUUCAACAUUUACUACUGUAAUUCUUGUUCUUGUUUCUGUUCUUAGUCUCUAUGUUAGUUUUAACUCUAGAAUUUCCCCCUUCUAAGCAUUUCAAAGAAUGAGAGCAUUCUCAGCCUCAUAACCCUAAUUCUAAGUUUCAAUAUUUACUAGUGUAAUUCUUGUUCUUGUUUCUGUUCUUAGUAUCUAUGUUAGUUAAUGCUGAACUCUGUUCCUUCCGAGAUCAGUAUACAUUGCAUUGCAGUUUGCAAUUUCUUCAGGAGAUUAAUGCAGGGAAGGUCGAUUUGCGAUCCUCAGAGAAGCCGACGCAAUUGUUGAUACGUUUAGCGUAGCGAGCAUCCGAAAGCUAUACCUGAUUCGAGGUAAUCUUUUCGAGUAUCUGUCUUUGGGUUUUCCACUUUCCAGAGAAGCUGCAUACAUUCUAUCUGGUCUCUGAAGUUCUCCAGCAAGUUACAUAUUCUUUGUUUAGAGGUGCAAAAGUCUAAUGUUCUUCUGCAUCCAAGUUAGAGUACUUACUCCUCUGAAAAACAAAAUUCAGAGUAAUUCUACUGCUUUUUCUGCAUCCUUAUUCUGGUGGGAAUAAAAUAAAAAAUUCUAUUCUGCAUAACUGCACUCAUAUUCCAGAAAAUAUUAUUCUGAACAUAUGCUAAUGUACCCAAAAGAAAUACAUACCACCGAUGAAUUUUCGCUCUGAGAAGCUGGUUUUGAAAACUGCCAUCACCAUUGAAGUCGCCGACGAUAGUGCUCGAUUCAAAUUCAAAUACUUCAAAGCAAUUUUAGUUUAUUAUCUAUGAAAGGAUGAGCAUUUGCGUACUAGUUCACAAACAAUUGUUGAUUCCUAGUCUAGCUGUAGCGUUUUCGACUAUCAUAACUACCAUUUAUUUUGUGAGUUGUACAAAUUAUCCAGUUAAUUGUUACAUAUUAAGUUAGGUUUUUGACUCAUGAUAAUUUGAACUGGGGAAAUAAACACAUAAUAGGUUUGGUACAAGAAAAACAUACGACACGCAACACAUUUCUCCAAGUAAAAUGAGAUUUUCCAUAAAUAAUAAUCAAAUUGGGAAAAAUGCUAGGUGAUGAGGCUUAACAAGUUUCAAAUCGCGAAUACUUGCGCGAGAACGCAUAAUAUGCCUUAAAAAGUAUUGAAAAAGUUAGCAUGAAAAGUAGGGCUCCAAACACCCUAGAAUGUGUGGUAAUGAAGCACGGAAUUAAUUGGGUGAAGAGUUCAUUACAUGUCUAAUGUAUAGUAAAUUAUUAGAAAAAUAAUAAAGAAGAUACAUACUUUGAUGACUUUGAGAAAAGAUUUCUUUUUACAGACAAUUAAUAUAUUUUGCAAAAUCCAUACGACGGUACUUUUAAAAGCGAAAGAGUUUAACAUGCUUAUAAUUUUUUAGUCAUUAAAUUGCCGCAAAAUCAGCCCAACACUAGCAAAGAAAACUUAAGAAGACACAUCGAUAAUAGUGUUGUAUGAGUUUUAAGACGAGUUUUAAGAAAAUCUGACGGUUAAAAAGUUACAAAUACAAAUAUUUAUGAGCUCAACUCUCCAUAUGACAAGGAUUACGCGUAUUGAGAAAGAAAUGCGAUAAUUACAAAUAUACCCAGUUGAAAACCCCAGCACAUGUCUUCGGAUUUGUUCAAAUAUUUGGAUUGUGAGUAAGAUGGUAAAACCCAGGAGCAUGCAAUAACUUUUCCUUAAUUUGGUGGUUGUAGCUGUAAUUAACAGAACCACUCCAGUACUAGUCACAUGGUCUCUGAGCAACCCUAGCUACUGAUCAUUAACAGCUUCUUCCUUCUCCACUAACCCUGCAAGGUCAAUGCUAGGGCCCAGGUGUCACCUGGAUGUUUAUAACUUCAUCCAUAUGUUAAUAAAUUUCAUCUGAUAUUUUAGGUUACUUGUAUACAAUAGUCAAAAAAAAAAAAAAAAAAAAAAAAAAAAAAAAACUGCAUAUCAUGUAUAUAUAUCACCCAUGUUAUUCUACGCGAAAAUACUACGAAGUCAACCAACAACUUACCAUAAAUAACAAAAUCUCAUUAACUGGUUAGAAAUUUCAUGUAGAAUCACUGAUAAAGAGAACCAUCUUUCUGACUAUUAGAAGUAUAACUGUAAAAAGUACUAUAAAUGUGUCAUAUAAACUCGUCAACAUAUUAAGUGUUUAGAUAUUUUUUAAAAGUAAAAAAAUCUAGGUGGUCGUAGAUGUCGAGUUAAAGAGACCAACAUCUUAUCCUGUGGCGGAAGAUCAGAGUUAGCCGAGUCACGUUCGAAAUAGUGUGAGACUGAAUUAGAUCGAGUCAUGUUCGAAAUAGUAUGAAACAAGUUGGGCCUAGUCACAACAAUCGAGAAUUAUGAACGUUAAGUCUGUAGGCUAUAAGUAAUUUGAUUAUAUUUUUCUAACCACUUAGAUUUUGAGAUUAAUUAUUAGCGCUAACGAUCCGACAAUAGACUCAUACAAUUUAUUCCUCUGCUUCUUUAUAACGUUCUUCAAGGUCAAAAUAUUUAUGGCGCGCUCUUCUGCGCCUAAAAUGAUCCCCUUCAAAAUUUAAUGUCCUCUGUGCUCUGCUCCUCUUUCAUUACCACACCCCAACCCCUCCAUUUCUCCACACCCCUCACAUCACUCCACCACUUCUCCUCACAACACAUUUUUGUUCAACAACUAACUAAACCCCUCAAACACCACCACCACCACCUCCUCCUCCUCCUCCCCUUCUUCAUAUAUUCCACCCCCAUAAAUCCUCUUUCUAAAGCACACACAUUUUGUGUUGUCCCAAAUUUGCUACAACAUAAACCCCUCCCCAAAAACAAGAAAAAACACCACCAUGCUCAAUUCCACUCUCUUCCUCUCUUUCCUCCUCUUCCUCCUCCUACUGGCUUGUUCGAUCACGGCGCUUACGCCGGACGGCGUAUCGCUCCUCUCCUUCAAGUACGCCGUCCUCGACGACCCCCUCGCGGCGCUCGCCGACUGGGACUACGCCGACGACACCCCGUGCUCCUGGAACGGUGUCGUCUGCGCGGAAUUCCCUGCAAUCACCAACAGCAGCAGCAGCAGCAGAGUGAUCGGCCUGAGCCUCCCCAAUGCUCAAUUGCGAGGUGCCGUCGCGCCGGAGCUUGCGCUCAUAGAGCACCUCCGCCGCCUCGACCUCUCCGGCAACGCACUCGCCGGUCCGGUCCCCGCGGAGCUCGCGCUCCUUCCCAAUCUCACCACUCUCUCUCUGGCCAAUAACUACUUCUACGGCGAGCUCCCCGCCGGCGUGUCGGAUUCCCUCGAGGUGUUCGAUGUGAGCUCCAACCUCAUCAACGGCUCCCUCCCGCCGGGUCUCGGCACGGGGAGCCUCCGGUACCUGAAUUUGUCGCACAACCGGAUAAGCGGCACGGUACCGCCGGAGCUCGGUUCGGCGCUUCCCGCGAACGCCAUGAUCGACCUCUCGUUCAACAACCUCACCGGGCCAAUUCCACAGGCCGGAGCUUUCACCGCACAGAAUGCGGUUGCCUUUGCGGGGAAUCCCGGUCUUUGUGGCUCGCCGCUUAUCAAGAAAUGCGCCAUCUCCUCCUCGCUCUCCAACGCUCCUCCUAACAAUGUCUCCGCCGCCACGGCAACUCCCCCGGUGUCCAAGGCCUUUGCGGCGAUACCCGAGAGCCCGAAUGCGGAUUCCUUAGCUGGGAAUGGCGGCGGUGGGGGAUCGGCAAGGCCACGGGGGCUCAGGCCGACUACUAUAUUCGCGAUCGCCGCUGGAGAUUUCGUCGGAAUCGGAGCACUCUUCGUAGUGUUCUUGUACAUAUAUCAGGUGAAGAAGAGGAAGCAUGAGAGUGAAGGGAUUGAGACGAAGCAGGUUGAAACUGCCGCCGACGACGAGGAAAAUGUGCAAGAGCUCGGCGGCGGCGUCUUUUCAUGCUGCUUUAAAAAGCACGACUGCGGCUGCAGCGGCAGUGGCGACGGCGAUGGCACCGAAGAGAGCUCAGAAACGUCGGCAUAUGCUGCGGCGGAAGCAAUGAAAGGUGAUGGAGAGCAAAAGGCUACACUAGUGUCUGUCGACGGAGAGACGGAGAUAGAGCUCGAGACGCUACUGAAGGCGACGGCGUAUGUAGUCGGAGCCGCCGAGCGGGGAAUUGUCUACAAGGCAGUGCUCGUCGACGGGACGGCCUACGCGGUUCGACGGAUCGGCGAGGGGAGAGGCGACGGCAGCGACAGCAGCAGCGGCAUGGGGAAGUUUAGGGAAUUCGAAGCGAAUGUGCGCGCCAUCGCGAAGCUCCGGCACCGGAAUGUGCUUCGGCUCCGGGGGUUCUACUGGGGACCCCAGGAGAAGCUCCUCAUCCAUGACUUCGCGCCCAACGGUAGCCUCAACAACUACUCUUUCACCGGUAAGGACCUUUUUGCCCUUUUCAUUUAAAUGGAAAUAUUGCCGCGAACUAGGGAAAUUAUAGAUUUAUUUUAAGAAGUUUUUAAUUAUUAGGUAUUUUCAUUUAAAAGUUGUUUCCAUCGAUUAGCUGAUUGAUUAAAGUUGAUUUUAUCUAAUGAAAUGAUCAUUUUAUUUGUUAAUUAUUAGGUAUUUCAAUUCACUUUUUCCCCCCCACCCGUAUUUUACCUGUCAUUUCUUAGGCGUACCACCUCUGAGUUUUUAACUCUUACCCAAUUAUACAAAUCUUUAAUAUUUUAAAUAUUUGAUAAUUAAAACUUUGCGGUUAUAAAUAAUUACUUUUCGAAAUAUUCCCUCUUAGGAGGCACUUGGUUCUAUUAAGUGUUUGUACUGUUGUUUAACAGAUAAGGCGUGCUCGCCGUCCCCGUUCCACCUGAGCUUCGAAACACGGCUGAGGAUCGCAAGGGGCGUCGCGAGAGGCCUCGCAUUUCUUCACGAUAAGAAGCAUGUUCACGGCUACAUAAAGCCGAGCAACAUCUUGCUAGACGCCGACAUGGAGCCGCUGAUCAGCGACUUCGGCUUGGAUCGUCUGUUUUCUGUCAGCAGCAGCAGCAGCAGCAGCUCCAAGCGGAGCAUGUCGGCACGGAUAUUCGGAAGCAAGUGGUCUACAGCCGACCUCCCCGACCUAUCAAGCCCGUGCGGCGGCAGCUCUUCCUCGUCUGCCACGCCGUACCAUUCGCCAGAGAUGACACAGAAUCUGAAACUCAGUGCAAAGUCGGACGUGUACUCGUACGGAGUGGUUCUGUUGGAGCUGAUCGCCGGGAGGGUGCUUUCGGAGGUUGAGGUGUGCCAAUGGGAGUCCGGGUUUGCAGCACCACAAGCAGAGAAGAGCAGGGCUAUGAGGAUGGUGAAUCCAGCGAUGCGGGGAGCCGCCGAGGGGAGGGAAGAAGCUCUGCUCAGCUGCUUCAAGUUAGGGUUUUCUUGCUGCGCAGCGGCUCCGCAGAAGAGACCUGCUAUGAAAGAUGUUCUGCAAGUGUUAGAGAGGAUAUGCAUUUGAUAAGUUUAAUUUCUCCUCUUUGCCAUACAACAGUGGGAACAAUUGCUUCCAAAAUCUCACUGAUAAGCUAUUUUGCAAUUUGUACUUCACUGAAAUUGUAAAACUGUUCUCUUUGCCGCGGUAUGAUCCAAUAGCUUUAUAUGUGCUUUUCUCGCGCACCAAUCAACUUUUUCAGUACUUGUUUCCAUAAACAAAGCAACCACAUGAUAACAUUAUAAAAAGAGGUGAAAACAUACCUUCUACGAGCGAAGGAUGAUCCACAUUAGAUGUUCAUUUCUGACAAGUAAAAUUUUGCUUCUCCGGUGGUAGCUCACUAGAAUGUUAAACUUAAAGUAUCAUUGAGCUUGUUGCAUAGGAAAACUAUGUAAUAGCCUAUACAUCACAAUACAAUAUUAAACCGAACAACAUAAAUAACUUCUGAUACAAACAGUAACGCACAUUCCUACAUAUUUCCACUGAUUUCUUGCAUUAAACCAUAUUCAAUGAGUGAAUACCUGAUGCAAACCUAAGGCCUAGGACAGGAUGCUGCAUCAACUAGUUUCGUCCUCCCACUUACUAUUGCUAAUUGUAUAUUAGCAAUGAAUGGGUGAUAUACAAGCUUGAGCCCAUCAGUCCCCGAGUAAUCACAACAAUACUGCAAAUGAUAUCUUCCUCCUGGUCUUCCUUCUGACCAGUCGAAACUGGGUUCAAAAUUUCGAGGAAUAAAAUGAUUAGAGCAUCAUUUCUGAUAGAAUCACAAAGUUUCACGUUUUAUGAACCCGAGAUGAAAGGGAGGUGAGCAACUGCUGUAGGAAUUGAGAGAUGGAGAUUUUGCGCCGCUAAGUAUGCGAUGAUACCAGCAGAAUAACCUGCAAAUGCGAACCCACUCACCUGCAAAUAGGAAUAGCGUUGAAAUUUGAGACAGCAAAAAUUUGAGCAUCGGAAAAGAAAGAAAUCUAGAGAAAUCCACUUUUUGGAUCAGCAAAUUGUUGAGAAUUACAAUUACAAGUAGCUGGCAGUAACUUCACCUUGCGAAGAUACCAAAAGAAAUCCACCUUUUCCAUUCCCAUAAAUGCAACUCCCGCUGCAGAGCCAAUGAUAAGCAUAGACCCACCAGUGCCUGCACAGAAGGCGACGAGCUGCCAAAACUCGGAGUCUCGGGGAAAAGAAGUUAGAUCAUACAUUCCCAUUGUGGCAGCAACUAGUGGAACAUUGUCUAUAAUUGCCGAGACCACACCAAUCGCGGUAGCAAUCAGUUCAACAUUUGGAAUGUGAGCAUCGAGGUAAUUCGCUAAUUCCCUCAGAAUCCCGGCAGCCUCCAAGCUACCCACAAAACAAAGACAAUUAUUAGGAGCCAUAGUGUAUAAAAAUAUACUGUUUCGCUAACUAUUUCCAGGAAGAGAGAAUGUACAACUUGAUGUGCAUGCCAGAAAAUUCCAAACAUGUCUACAUAAUUAUGUUAAGAGGAUCACUAUGUCCUCUUGCUAAUCUGUAAUAUGCGGCAAGCACAACUUUCUAGCUAGAAAUAUAUAGAGUUAAAGGGCCUUUUCUUGGUGUGUGAAGUUUCAUUCAGAGAAAAUAUAAAGAGUCAAAAAAAUUUAAAUACACUAAUACAGAGUUUUGGCAGCAGUUGUUGUACGAUUUAUAAUUAUGAAUAAACACUUUGAACUAAGAGAUAAAGUAAUAAAUAGAUUAUAUUCUCCAACUAUUAUGUUCCAUCUAGAUCUUACCAUCUAGUUCAAGUACUUAUCUUUAUUAUGCAUUGAUCAGGAUGGGGUAACAUGCAUACCUGCUCACUGAAAGAAGGAUUCCCAAAAAGAAAAGGACUCCUUGUGUAUCGAUCCGCGACAAAGCCUGAGGCACUUUCAAUUUUUGCCUUCCAGAAUCACCAUAAUGAAUUGCAUCAGUUAAAAUCCAGAGAACUCCAAGCCCAAGCAGCAUGCCCAUGUAAGGGGGAAGGCCAGUAAGGGCUCUGAACACCGGAACAAACACUAAAGCUCCUAGUCCGACAGCAAAAACAAGUCGUCCUCGAGGAGCCAUCUGCUCGGUUGCCAACAAACCUGAAGAAUUCUGAGCUGUCCCAUUGACCUCACUAUAUUUUAAAAUUGAAACCAAAUGUCAGAGUAUACUGUUGAUAGAAAAGUCUCUUUGAACUGCUUUGUUGGCAAUAGCUAAUCAUUGAUCAAGUACCUAGUCAGGGACAUGAGAGCCAGUGGGACAGCCAAAGAGAGAACCGCGGGAACAAACAAGCCCUGCCAUUAAAAAAUAAAAAUAAAAAAUUUUAAAACAACAACAGCAUCCACAGAUCAAAGGCAGUGAAAUAUCACAAAGUACAGUUCCAUUCAUAGACAUGUUAUCAACCAUAUCACAAGCAUCCACAGAUCAAAUCAACAAAGGGAGAUCACAAAGGUAGUCUUGAGAAGUGUGCUAUUAUGUGAGAGUGUACUCCAAGGAUAGAAGAAGAAGAAGAAGAAAUUUGUUUAUAUUGUCAUAGUGAAAUACCCAGUGCACUAAAUAUAUACAAUGAGCUUUCCUGACUUCUAUCACAAAAUGUUGUCAAUUAAUUUUUCUUCAUCUGAUAUUUUCCCAUCUCAUAUUCCUUUAGAGGAAAGUCCAUAAUUCAAGAUAAAGACUAUCAAGGGACACACAAUUACCAAGGCUUAGAUACUACAGUACGUGGUAAGAUGGGCAGCAACUAAAUACUGCAGACAAAAUUUUAUUAUAAUGUAGGGAGCCCUUCUUCAUUGCAUUUACUUCACAAAAUAGGCCUUCAUAUCCUCACAAGGGAGAACUCAAAAAUAAAAACCACCAGGGAAUAUUCUAUAAUGGUCAACAUGCGAACAAGAGAAUUAGGAUGUGGACAUAGUUUGGAAAUGUUGAUCUGGACAAGUCAAAUUGGAAUAUUUUUACCCUCCUGCAGGCACCAAUACUGAUUUGAGGAGACUAAUAUCCACAAUCACGAAACAUUAUGCACAAUCACGAAACAUUAAUAUGGAAGAGAUUGCUGCAAAGUAAUUACAAAGUGGGCAAUGCAAAUCAAUUUUAAUAUACAGAAUCCGAAGCCUAUAUGCAUUUGGAAAAAGCAUGCAAAAGUUUCAUCAAACUCACAGUCAAACCAAGAAGAUACAAGUUUUAUGGGAAGCAUAAUAAACCCUAGUAGUUGAUAGUAAUGACUAGUCACACAAACAAUUAUGAAAAGCAUACAAACCAACUCAAGGCUUACAACUAUAUCGCUGUAAGAAAGAGAACAAUAUGAGUUGGCCAAGUAGUGCAAUCAAACAGCACAGACCUGCAUUAUUUUCAAAGUCGAGAUCUGACCAUGAAUCCACAACAUUGUUGUUGUGACAUCACCAAUUGGUGUCCAUGCGCCACCAGCAUUUGCCGCUAGAACAACAACAGCUCCUAAUAUUCUGCCAAUACCAAAGAAGACUCAAUAAAAGGAUAUAUACUAGAGAUUGUGGGAUAAAACAAGACAAAUCUGCACUGGAGGUUCUUAGCCGGUAACAAAUUUAAGGGUAGAGAUUCUAAACAGACAAAAAGAGGGAAAAAAAUCAACUGUGUUAUGGUGCACAUUACACUCUAAACACAAAGCUGUAUACAAGAGAGUUAUAGGAAAAUAACCAAGUAUCCAAUAGUAACAAAAUUGCAACAUAGCUAUUGGAUCCAAGCAAAAAUAAGAACACAAUAAUGUAACAUGUCACUCUGAAAGAAAAUGCAUUGCCCCUAGACAGAUAUGGUGAUCCUCAAAAGAGAUAUAAUCACUUCGAUAGAAAAUCAAAAUCGUAACAUAUCCAUACAAUUAUAAAAAAUCUUUGCAAGGAGUCGCUAGAGAAGACAAUGCAGUUCAUACUUCCUGUAUUCUGACGGAGGCACUAGCUUACGCAACAGUGAGACCAUCACUAUAGUCGACGUCAGGUUGUCAAGUACAGAACUUAAGAAGAAAGUUACAAAACCUACCUGAAAAUUCAACCACGAAUAGUUAGCUAUGGAGAAACUGCAAUAAAUUAGUUUUAACAAAGCCUUUAAAGUGAACGUUAUAUGAGACAAUUAGCUUGUUAGUCAAGUUCCUGGUUCCUUUACCCACAUCGUACAUUUUAGGGUGCAGUACAAAUCUGGAUAUAAAAUGGAACAAAAUAACAUAACAAAUAUAAGAAAAGAUAACAUAACAAAUAUGAGACAAGAAAAGAACAAAAUUGAAAAUAUUGCAUCUGCCUGCCUUGCAGUGCAAGGUAAAAAUUUUCACCUUCAUUUUAAUGAGCAAUUUAGAGAUGCAGACCAGUAAUUGAAGUUUGCAAUGUGCUUCUCAUCUUCCAUUUCUCAUAUCCAACCAAAUGAAUAAACAGUAUGGAUUAGCAAAAACCAUCAUCGAAGAUAACAACUUGCAGCUGGAAUUUACUAUUUUCAGCCAUGUACAAGGCAAAUCAAAUGAUGCACAAUAUUUUUGCUUUAGAGUUGAUGAGAUAACCCUUUAGCAUGCUAAAGGAAUGAAGAGAAGCAUUGAGGAUGUGUGUGUAAGCAGAAAUUCCUUUUCAGGAUAAAUUUGGUUCAGAUACAAAACUAAUAGAUCGAUAAAGAUUUGAUUGAACUAUAUUGAAUCUAUUGGUAAUUACGUAUUAACUUGUGAUAGAAAUAAGUAGAUAAGACUCAUGAAUGACUAAAAAAAGAACUUACCACCCAGAGGAGAAUUCGAGGAUUUCGAGUAGUAAUGUUGUCCGUAACCAGCUUAAAUCCUUGAUGUGCAUCAACAAUCUCUACAAUGGUCAUUGCACCAAGCAAAAAGAAAACUAUUUCACUAACUUCAGCAGAUGACUGGGUUAAUUCUGUAACAGCUAUGUCUGUUGAGGGAGCCUGCACCACCAGAAAGCGAUACUAUCAUCUUGUCAACCUAACCGAAGUAUAUCAAGCUAAAAUAAAUUUAUAAUUCCAGACAAACAUAUGUGGAAACUGAUACAUGUCACACUUAUUUGAGGUAAGAAGAGAACAAAUAGUACAAAACAUCAAUACAAGAGCAAAAGCAAAAUUUUACAGCAAAUUUGAUAUAUAUAUAGAGAGAAAAAAGAGUGAAUUCAAGUAUCAGAAGCUUGAUGGUCUAAACAUGGCUCCACACUUUUCAAAGGGAAAGAAUACUAACACAAACUAACUAAAAAGAUGCCAACAGCCAAUGGAAGGUUUAUUCUGUUUUCGAGUGUAUAAUUUAGAUUACCAUCUAGUAUCAGCAUUAUGAUUUUCAACCAUAUGUUGUGGUCAAGAAUCACAGCAUUUUCACAGCAUGACCGUCCAAUAUCAGCGACUUGCAGCUGGAAGAACUUCAGAAGGGGGGUGCCACAAGUUUGUGUAGCAUUAAAAUUAGGAACCAUUUUUAAGGUGGCAGAAAUCUGCCAAAUUCUGUCAAAGUAAAGAUGAACAGAAAUUUAAUUAAUAUUGUAGAAUAAAGCAUGUCUAAGCAACCAUUCACGUAGCAGUAAGUGAAAGUUAAAAAUCCAUUAUCUGCAAAUGUCGCUGAAUAACCAGCUGAAAAGCAAAGGAACUGCGACAAGAGAGAGAUCAUCAAAAUUCUCACCCCAAUGCUUCUUAUGACCCAUAAGCAAACGGCCAUCAACAACCCAACCCCGCUCUUGUUGAACGCAAGAGAUUCCUCAAAAAUAAUCCCUGCAUAACCAAUGGCAAAUACCAAUACCAUAGCAAGAUCCUGUACAAAUUAAUAUGUCAAAUCACACUACCACUGAUAGCUAAAUAUUCACAUUAUGCAGGACAAUAAAGAAAAGCAAAAAAGAAGCGAUAGAAGGGUGACCUAACCUGAUUAGCAGCUACCCAAGAAUGAUUUAUUGCAGCAGCUCCCGACAGAGAUAGCGCGAGAAUAGUUAGAGCUUUCAAUAAAUCAGUUUUGGGUUGGUAAUUUUCUUCGAAAUCCUGUGAGCUUACAUCAUCAACUGAACACAACGGAUCACACUUUCCUGAUGUAUCCAACAGCUGCAAAUGCGACGUAGCAGUACAAAGUCGAUAAAGAUAAUUGUUUUAGGUUCAAAUUAACUUCACCCAAACCAAACCAAAAAGUACAGCAUCAGAAUAAAAGUAAAAGUGUGAGGAAAAAGUAGCUAAAUUUUAGCCCUUUCGUUUACAAUACAUUACAACUAAGAAGCAUAAACUCUAUUCUUACUCUAACAUACCCAAAUGCAUCAUACGAGCACACAUAUGUACCAAUUUCAAGUGUGCCUGUUAACAAUGAAAGGAGAAGGGUAGUGAGGGGGGCACGAACCUCGUAGUCGCGGGGAUCAAUGGGGGCGGGAGAAGAGGAGGAGCUCUUGUCUUUGUCCUCGGCCCUCGCGAUUACGACCAUCUCUCGCCAUUGGUGGCGACGUGAGCUCAACAAGGAAGGGGGUAGUGGUAGGGGAGACGAUCUAUGGCUAUGGCGGAGGCGGAGCUCGCGAAAGGGAGAUAGAGAGGAGGAGAGGGCUUGGGAGGGCGAGGAGAGGGUUCCGAUCAAGUAGGAGGUGGAGAGCGCCAUUAGAGGGGGAGGGGCGAGGUCGAAGUUGCGGGGGUUGGAGAGCGAGGAGGGAGUGGGGGUAGGAGACGGUGAGUCCGAUGUAUGCGAAGUGAUGGUGGUCGCGACUCACGAGGAGGAGAGAAUCUCUGGGGUGAAAAUUGUAGAUACGUCCCCUCAACGAUAGGACGUUUCGAAAAUCGCCCCUCAACUUUGCUCUUUUUUAUUUUAGGUAAAAAUGAUGCAAAACUUUCAAAAAUUAUGAAUCAUCUUGAAUCAAAUAUCUAACUUUCUUGAUUUUACUGUACAAUCUUUUAAUUUAUUAUUCAUAGUAUUUUAACUUCAAAAUUUAAGUCAAUUGCUUACUUUAUUAAAGUUAUAGUUGUAAAAAAUGCAUGAAAUAUUCUAAUUAAAUCUGCAAAAAUAACCGAUGUAUUUAAAUUUUAAAAUCAAAUCCCUGUUGACUAAUGCAAAUGAAAUAAAUUAAAAUAUUAAGUAUUAAAAUUAGAAUUUUAAAAAAAUUGGAUAGACAGAUUAAAAUGAUUCAUAGUUCAUGUAAAUGUUGUACGAUUUUGCCUAUUUUUUAUUGGAAUCCUUUUAAUUUUUCAUUUUUUUAAAUUUGAAUUAUCUUGUCUAUUUUAAUUAAUUAAGUUAAAUUUAUAACUAAAGUAGUUAAAUUUUGAUAAAAUUUAAAAUUAUUUAAUUGAAAUUACUUAGAUUUUAAAAAAAUUUAACUUAUCACAAACUGAAUGACAUCAAUAAAAAAAAAAAAAGGUGACAUUUUAAAUAGGGGAUCACAAAUACUGGGUAAAUUGCACCACUAUUUCCUGGACUCUUGGCUCAGUUUCAUUUUGAUCUGCAAACUUUUAAGCUUGAUAUUCAGCAUCUUUCUUAUGUAUGUACAAAAAAAAGUGUCCCUUUGCUCAAAUGAAUCAACUCAUCAUCACUACAAAGGCAACUACAAACAGCCAUAUUUCUUCUAUAUAAUAUAUCUCAAAGUUUUGAGUAAUGACCCACCUGUUAAUGGUAAUUACAGAUAGAAAUGAAUGCCAUAAAAACCAUGUUAAGAAAUAAAAAAAAUAUAUUAUCAGGCCCCAAGAAAUUUAGUGGUAGUUGAGAUAAAUGAUGCUAAGCACCACAGCCAAUAAGCAUAUAACUGCAUUUGCAGAAGUUCCUGGUUGACCACUUGGUUCUGUUGGGGCCGGCGGUGUUGCAGCUGGCGGCGCCGAUUUCUCAGAGAGGUCAGCAACCGGCGGCAGUGGCGGGUCAACGACAUCGGAAGCUUCUAGAAUUGGAGCAGGGGGUUCAGCUGGAGGGGCUGCUUCUGGCGGGGCCAAGGAGAGGAGGGAUCCAGGCUCUGUGGGCAGUAUCGUGUAGGGCAGUUUCGCGUUCGCAUCGGAGCAUGGACUCCCUGUAGAAGUUAUGUUUCAGUAUGGCAUGCAAUAAAUCAUCGGAAACUUGAAUUUGCAUGUUGUCUAACUUUUCUCACGUAAAAUGUUUCCGACAGGUAGAUAAGGUGAUGAAUAAGGAAAGGUAUCAUGACGCCUACUCACGGUGAGAACUCCGUGUUACCGUAAAGUAACAAAGUUUAAUCUAGUGGAAUUCAUGAUAAUGGCAAGAAUCUAUGCGGGUGAGUACUUACUGAAAUAUGCACUUGCAGUUGCAGGAAAUUCAGUUACGAUCCCGUCGACUCCGACUCCCCCAACAUACGUGGCGAUCUCGGCCAAGGGGUCCGAAAAGAAAUCGAAUGCAAUCAUGAUGAACUCAUUCCUCAGCACCGAGACAUAAACAGAUAGAUUCGCUGCAUGCAGCUCCUUUACCACACCGGUAUAGCUAGAAAGGAAGAAGCCGGUGCUCGCCACAAUUGAAGAUCUGGGUAUGUUUACUGCUUCUGCAUACUGCUUGAUCUCAUCCACUGCUGGCUUCGGAGUAUCACUUAUGGUUUCUUUAAUAUUGAGGACUCGCUUGUAGGUAGGAUAUUUCUUGAACGUGGAGAGGACAGCGGUGUCGUCAGAUUGAAUGAGUACUUGCUGGUUGGUUCGAGUGUCGUAGCUAGCAUUUGUUAAGGCACCAGAGACAGCAUUGACGAUGUCGAGGCCCUUCUUAGAUGCAAGGUAGGGAGCAUUCUGAAUUCACAGAAUAAAAUGAAUGGCUUGUGAGAUCGCGAAUCACUAAAGUCUAAAGCUAAACAAUUGAUUAGUCUCUUAGAAACUCAAAUUCCUAGUGUGAAGGUUUUGCAAUAACAUGAUAAACUAACAAGAGAAUGUUACCUCUAUGUUAAUUAAGACACCAGAGACUCUGCUGUUCUUUGCAAAGUCCAGGAAAUCAGCAAGUGUCAUGAAUUUGCCCUGAUUUUUCGCUGCAGGAUUUCUCGCCAUGCCAGACUGAGAUAAAGGACUCACUAAAUCGGCUGAUGAGGGGAAAAAAAAAAGGAUUUGGAAACAAAAAAAAUUGUCAAAAUAUUGCUCAAUAUAGCUAGAAAUUUCAAAUUAAAACUCAGCCUGCAAGAUAAAUUUUGAAGGAUUCAAGACGCAAAACGUGGAAUGCUGCUGACAACGAGAAAAAAUAGUAACCAAAAAAGAAAGUCAAGGAGAAAGGUUCAAAAAUCUUUACGCUUCAAACUUUGAAUCUCGCUCCAUGUGAGGUCAAAUGAGAAGAUUCCGUUGUUCUGUUGUAUUUCAGGGACCAUCGUUGCUCGGGACAUGAAAGAAGCUAUUGCCGUCGUUUUGCCCAUAAGAUCUGGCGAAUCCAAACAGAAAGCAACUCCAUCUUUCGACAUCUGAACGGAGCAAUCGAUUACAUCAGCACCAUCUUUCACUGCUUGCUGAUAUGCGAGAUCAGUGCACCCAGCAAAUACGCCACUUGCGCCGUUGUGAGUCACAAUCAGCGGUCUCCCUAUAUCCAUAAGAGUUGCGAAACAAGAAUUAUUAGCUAUAAUGUGACUAAAAUAGCAUGACAUAUUUAAGAAUAAGAACAUCAACCUAACCUUCCUUGCGGGGAAUAUCAUUGUUGUUAUGGGCCAAGCAAGCUGCAUAGAUAAGCUCAUUAAUUAAAAAGUUGCCCGAUUGAAUAUUGUAGAAACUGUAUACAAUAAAACCAUAAAAUAUGGGCUUUUCUGCAAAGUCUAGUUACUUGAAAGAGAAAUUAAUCCUAUUGAAAAGGCAACGAAACAGAGAUAUUUUGUUAUCAGCUUACAUUUUAAAACACCUCUUCGUUUCAUAAAGAAAAGAUAGGAAGUACAAAAUCCUAUUGACAGAGAAAAAAUUCUCUCACCUACAGCCUCUGAUGCCGUAGAGGGGAAGUCCGUUAGCACACCAUCGACUGAGAAAUUGGAAUUAUCUAUGAACUGUAAAUACUCAGCGGUUGGAUCGAAACUAUAGUUAUAGCUCGCAGGGGCGUCAUUUGCAAAAUUAUAUGCAUAUACUUCAAGUCCCAGUCCAUGGGCAUCUGCAACCAGAGUAGUAGGUGGCUCCAAAUAUUGAUCUUUAGUAACGGGCCAUAUGUAAUUCUUUGGAACAAGAAUUCCUGAAGCAAAGGACUUUAUCAUCUUCAAGUCUUUAAGGAGGGAGCUAUAUGUUUGAUUAGCCGAGGGUUCAACGGCAUCCUCAUCGAGGAACCGGAAGAUUAGCUUUGUCUUGCCUCUUCUUAGCUUCCCAUUGAGACCUUUCAAAAAACCAAUUUCUGGAGAAGAGACAUAGUCGAUACUGAUUUGCCUCGAUGCAUCUAAUAUAUAUCCUGUAACAUCUAGACUGUGUUUCUCAAAGAACGAGUUAUACUGUAACAAUUCAAAGAAAGAGUAUCAUCAGAUCAAUGUUGAAUAAUUAAGAGCAUAAGAAACCAAGUAUGAAUAGCACUUCACGGUUAAAGCACAUCAUGCAGAGUCCUUUUCAUUAAAAGUUGAGCACUCCUGCAUUAGAUCUUAAAUCUUAUUCACUGUAACUAUAACAAGCUUGAACUAAAAUUAUACUGCCAAAACUUAUAUUUUAGUUCAAUUAUAGCCUUUUCCAAUCAUUGAGGCUUCAAAAUCAGAAAAGAUAUCUCGAAGAAAUUAGGGUCAACAAAGAUACGCAAGCAUAGAACAUGAGGAGAAAGUUAUAAAUACACAGAAGAAAGAUGAUAACUAUCAAUAUGGUCAUGCUUACCUGCACAUUCAACCAAAAGCGACUCGGCCGAAGCCCAGUCACAUCCUCAACAGCCAAUGGUGGUAGGUUGCCAUCAAAAACACUAGGUCGAGAGAAGAUACUUUGGAUCACUGUGGAGAUGUGAGAUGAACAGCACGAGAUAACGAUCAGUAUACAUUGCAAUAGAAUAAAUUAAUAAAGCAAUGCAGUAACUAUGUACAAAUAAAUGAAUUUUUUGGAGAGUUAAUGAAAGAAAACAUUUGGCUUCGAAGAAUUGGUUGCCUUAUUCAAUUUUACAUGCGGUAGAAGAAGAUUUACCACAUUAUAUAAGGAUGUUUGAAGAGAGUUACAUGAAAUAAACUGUUGUAUCCUUCAUAUGCAGCCAUAUACAAUUAACCAGAAUCUUCUAUUGUCCGAACCAACUAUCAGAACAAUCAAAAAUAACAUACAUAUUGCAUGAUUUCCAACACUAUUUUUGCAUGAAAAUUAUACGAUUUUAGGUAAGUGCAAUAGAUGAUAGAUACUUACAUGCGACAUUGUUGAAUAUCUCGUCAGCAGUGAAGUCCACUGAAAACCAUCCACGAAUUCGCUCUCCAUUUACAGUAUAAGUUUUCUGCCCUUUCGGGAAAGCACUUGCUAUUGUCGUGGAAUUAUCAAGUCUUAAGUCACUGUGGCACAUGCUAGCCCCAUCUUUUGUUAGUUGAAGGUCACAGAACAGAACUACACUUUUUAAACUUGUCGACAUGGCAAAUUGGUAGGCAUAUUGACUGGAUUCAGGAAAGAGCCCAGAGUACCCGCCACGAGCAAUGACUAAUGGAGCCUCACCUGCAGAUACAUAUCAAGAAUGCCUCAGUAGCAUUUCCGUGGUUAAUAAUAUCCGAUUCCUAGAUUUAAAGCUUACCGAAUGAGUCUUAUAGUUCUCGUAAGAGUCGAACAUUUUAAGAUAUCAUGAAAGUAACUCAUAACAAGUGCGCAUUCGUAACUACGUGACAGAUAAAGAGAAUCCAAUACGGCAGUUUUGUUUCGAAAUUCUCCUCACAAUAAGCCUAGCUUGAAGGUGAUAGAAAAUAGAAACAUGUCUAAGUUAAGCUGUUCAAUUCAUGUUCAUAGACAAUACAAAGACGCGUAGCGGAUAAUCGUUCAUUAGACCGCAUUAUAGUACGGCUCUGGAAAUUCAUUUUAGUUAAUCAAAUUCCCUUUGCAGAACAAAACCGACAGGCAAAAUAUGGUGUACGGCGCGAAUCGCAGCAUUGAGAUUUCAUAGUUCAAACGAAGGAGGCAAUGCUCUACGCAAAAGAUUUUCAGAAACAUGAUGUUUAUUUUAUCAAUCUUCGCUUAACUUGAAACUGGAGUUAAAAACUAUCAUCAUAAUAGCGAAAUCAAAGUAAUUAAAGAAUAAUUCGCAAAAUUCGGCAUUAGCAAGACGAAAUCAAGCCGAUACCGCUUAACGUCUGCCACUUGGGCAGCGGCGCCGCCGGAGAAUUCGCAGCGGCUGCGGCUGCACGGAGCAGCAACAGAGGAAAAAGAAGGAGGAGAUGCCUCUUCAUCUCCGGUUCCCCCGAGGAAACCCUACAAUUGAAACAGCAUCACCAACAUCACUCCAACUCAAUCACAUAGCAAUUGAAUCGAAGAAAUUCAUUAGAUGAGUUAAUAUUUUGAACCUCCGAUCACGAAACUCCACCCUAAAAUAAGCUUCAAAGAUUUGGUGGGCAAUAUAACACAAGCUAUAUAUGCACAGAGAGAGGUUUGAGUUUUUUUUUUUUUUAAGAAAAAUUAGGAAAAGGGGAAGGGAAAUUUGUGGAGAAAAUGAAGUGAUUUUUUCUCUCUCUCUCCAAAUAUAACGGAGGAGCUAAACUCUCUCUCUUAACCAUUCCUCUUGUAACCGCUCUCGCUGUCUCUCCCCUCUCUCUCUCCGAACCGUCCAUUAAAUGGCGGGAAUUCCUCGUGGCGCGGCGAACUCGGGACGUUGCGCGGCGGACGGGGGAUUUCAAUCCGUCGAGAGGAGUAAAUGUGCACAACAAAUAAAAAUCUUUUUUUAUUAUUAUACUUUUAUUAGCUAGAGUUUUUUUUUUUUUUUUUUUUUUUAAGAGAUAGAUAGCGCGUUACCUACUUACCUGCUUCGUUUAUUCCAUUUAGAAAUAAAUUUAGCUAAAAAUAUGAAUCAACUAAGAUUCGAACUUGCGUCUCAGAUACCAACCAUCAUGUCCUUUGCCAGUUGCCACUUGCUCUAAAGACGGUCAGCAAAUAAAAAUCUUUUUAUUAUUAUACUUUUAUGGGAAAACUUUAAAAAUUCUCCAUUUGGUUUUGCACUUUCUUAUUUUAGUAUCCUGAUUUUAUUAUCCUGUAAUUUAAAAUAUAUUAAGUUAGUACCUUGUGGUUUCACACUUUCUCACUUUAGUAUUCUGUGGUUUAAAGUGUAUCAAGUUAGUACUAUGUGGUUUCGCACUUCCUCACUUUAGUACCAUGUGGUUUAAUAUUACGUUAAAUUAUAUAUCUCGAAAUGGAUAAUAAAAAAAAAAAAUUGAAACUAUAAGGUACUAACUUGAUAUAAAAAUAAAACAAUAUAGUACUAACUUGAUACAUUUUAAACCACAGGGUACUAAAGUGAAAAAGUGCAAAACCAUAUAGUACUAACUUGAUGCACUUUAAAUUAUAGAAUAUUAAAAUAAAAAAAUACGAAAUUACAUUGGAUUUUUUGAAGUUUCCCUACUUUUAUUUGCUAGAGAAUAUUAAGGGCCGUUAGGUACUAAGACCUAUUUGCGGCGCGAAAAUGAUUCGAAACAAAUUAAUAUUUAUUUUAUUUUAUUUAGAAACGGUAUAAGCGGAACUAAAUUUUUGACGAAUUAAAAUAAAUAAAUAAAUAAAUAAAGCAGAGUAGAGCAUAUUUAGAACGAUGUUUUUUAGUUUUAAUAUUUAUUUAUUAUUUUAUUUGAAGUAGAUCAAAUAAGAGACGAAAAGAAUUAAAACAAAAGAACAUGAAAACAUAUUUUUUUAUUUUUUUUACUAUAAAAUUUUAUAUUUUAAUAGGUGAAAUGGAAAUAACAUAUGCACCCUGUUAUUUGCAAUUUCAAAAUAUAUAUAUAUAUAUAUAUAUAUAUAUAUAUAUAUAUAUAUAUAUAAAAUAAGAAAAGAAAAACAUGCUUUUUUUUCUGGAUACAAUUAAUAAAAUAUAAUGUAAACGAUUUAUUAUGUACAUAUCAUAAUUUUUUUGCGAUUCCAUAAAAAAUCUUAGCCAAUUGAUCUGGCAUCCUCAAUACGAAAGCAAUUACGAUAUUUAAAAAAAAUAAAUUAAAAAUAAUUAAAUAAAUAUUUUUGGUUGAAAAUAACUUAAACUAUUAAAGUAAUCAAAGUUUACUUAUCCACGAGGUACUGAGUAAAUAAAAUUUAGGAAAAACUUCAAAAACCACCAUAUAACUUCGCACUUUCUUAUUUAGUAUCAUGUGGUUUAAAGUAUAUCAAGUUAGUAUUCUGUCGUUUCGCACUUUCUCACUUUAGUAACCUGUGUUUCAAGUGUAUUAAGUUAGUACUUAUAUCAAGUUAGUACAAUAUGGUUUUAAAUUUUUUUUUUAUUAUCCAUUUGGAGUAUAUAAUUUAACAAAAUAUUAAACCCACAUGGUACUAAAGUGAGAAAGUGCAAAAACUAUAGAAACUAAUUUGAUAUACUUUAAUUAUAGUGUGCUAAAGUGAGAAAGUAUAAAAUCAUAGAGUACUAACUUGAUACACUUAAACCAUAUAGUAUUAAAAUAAAAAAUGUAAAACUAAAGUAGGGGUUAUUAAAGUUUCCCUGAAAUUUAUUCACUUUAUGGCCGUUGUAUAAACUAUUAUAUGAAUCAAGGGCGGUGUAGUGAGGAAAGGCCUUAAUAAAUAAAUAAGUAAAUAAAAGCAAGCCAUGCACAGGUGUCAGCAGCCCUUUCGUUUUGCCCGCGCUCUUUCAUAAGCAGCUGACAGCUCUCCUUCCUUUGCUACCUGCCACACCACCCAUCACCCCUCUAGCAGCUACCACAAAAACAAUAAACAACAACACUGUAUAUAUAUAUAUAUAUAUAUAUUAUAUAUAUAUAAUAAUAUAUUAUAUAUAUAUAUAUACAACUCUCUACAAAGAACCGUGUUACUACUCAAAACCAUAUAGGCCUCUUUCUCUCUCGUUCUCUGCUUCUUUUAAGAUGUCGAAAUACGCAAAAUAGUCCUUUGCAAGGUUACGUGCUAAUAAAACAGGCAUGCAUAUAUAUUUUUUUUUGAAAAAAAAAAAUGCUAGAUUAAUGCUGCGGUUGCGUGCGUGCGUGCGUGCAUGGAUGCAGGGUACGACGACGAGCGGCGACACGGAGACGAGUCGCCGGCGGGGGGCUGCCCGGCAGGAAGGGAUCGGGGAAAGAAGGAGACGAAGACGGUGCAGACGGUGGACUACCGGGAGUCGGCCUGCGGGCAGCAGCACGACACGCGGCCCGUCGAGGUCGUGCACGAGAUCCCCUCCAAGGACAACGAUCCCAAGCAGGACUGAGCUUCUUUACCAACACCAGGAUCGAUCUGAGAAUCGAUUUAUAUAUAUAUAUAUAUAUAUAUAUAGCUUAAUUUCGCUAAUAAGAGAUUAGUUAUUGUUAAUCUCCUCUGUGUGUGGCUGAAACGUGAGUAAUUAAUUAGAUUUGCACUUUUGUUAAUUUCCUCUGUUUUUGAAAAUCUUUUUUGCUUCUUUUUCUUUUUCUUUUUUCUUUUUGGGUGUGUGUGGUGGUUGCAUGGUGACACGGGUUUUGGAUUGCAAUAUUGCCUAAGUGCUUUUCUCAUGGAUCCUGCAUCUGAAUUAGCCUUUGUGAUUCAAAGUUUUUGUUGAAUGCUUUAAAGAAGGCUAAAAUAAAUGCCUCAUUUGGGUUUUUUCACUUUUAUAUAAAUGUAAUUUUUUUUCCUUAAAAAGUGCUUUUCAUUCAAAGAUAAGGACCUUGCGGGGUCUGUCUAAUGCUAAUGUUAAUAGGUGAAUUGGAGUUGGGACGAGAAUAUAUAAAAAUAAUAAUAAUAAUAAUACUUUUGUUAUAUAUCGUAAUCACUCGCUACAAUAUAUGUUACAAUAUGCAUGGUAUUAAAAUACUCUCUAACAAGAAAUAAAAUAAUUUACAUUCUUAUAAAUUGUUGUGGAAAUUCGUUAUGAAAUGAUGAUUAAUCAUUAGAUAGAUGAUAUCAAAAAUAAUUGGUAAAAAAAAGUACCUAUCCCAUUAACAUCAGGAUUUAAGAACUCAAGAGCACAGAAAUUAUUGCUUCGCUUCUGAUUAUCCUUAAUUGAAGAGGGUAUUAAGAGACCAGCAGUGUUUGGUUCAUCAAAAAAGUAUAAAAAAAUUUAUUUUUUUUUUAAAAAAAAUUAUAAUUACUUGUUUAUAAUCUGUAUUUUUUAAAUAAAAAAUUUAAGAAAUGAAAGCAUGCAGUACUAUAUUUCCACGAGAUGUGAACAAAAACAAAAAAAAAAAUAAUAAUAAUAAUCAGAAGUAGUUCUUCUAAAAACCAAACGAAAAAGUUUUUUUUUUGGACCAGAAAAUUACUUUACAGGAUAGUUUUUAGGAAACCAAACACUCCCUAGGAAAUUCAAUGAGAGAACCAAUUGGAUACAACCAAACCAGAUCAAAAAUGUUCAUAACAAAUAAAAACUAACCAAAGCAUAUAAGCACGUGCCCAUAUAAAAUAUAAAAUUAAGAUGAUGAUAGAAUCCCAAAAAAAUAUCAAUAUUGUGAUACCAGUGACAAAACCUGUCUAAAUUAAUACAGCAGCAAAAGAAAUACUUUAUGAAACACCCCAAAAUAGGGAAAUUCUUAAUGCUAUAAUUGGAGAAAUAGACAUAUCCUCAACCAGCUUCGUAAAGUUGUUCGAUCGAAGUCGACACGAUUUCUGCCGAAUGUUCUGCAAUUUGAUGAAUGGCACCAUAAUUUCAUCAGUGAUCUACAACUACAUUUAGCCCAAAACCCUUUAAAGUGCGCUCACUAUUUGUUGAAGAUGCAAAUGCCCACCUGGGAAUAAAUUACAACCAAAGGGUAAGAACAUAUUGGAUCUAACGGAACUUCCAUCAAAUGAUGUUCAGAAUAAUAUAGCAUCGACUAAAACCUGGAGCGUCUGUUAUAGAUAGAGCAAUAAAAAUCACAAUUUAUGGACCUCUAUAGCACAGUACUUUAAGCCGUGCACUUGCAUAAUUAUGAUAUGAUGUUCAUAGAAGCAGCCUGAUUUCAUACAUAAUAUGUUUUUACUUGAUUAACCAAAAUGAAUAUGCAUGCUUCAUUAAAUGAAUGCCUAGAUAUAGAAAGAAGCACAUGUCACGUGUUUUUGUGCAAAAGCGCACUGAGAGACAAGAUGAUGAAGAGGCUUGAGAGAGAGUGAUAAUGAUGAAAAAGGAUAAUGAUCUGUAUCCUGAUCAAAUCACAGGAUAUAAACAAGUUAUCCUGGCUAUAAUUAGCUUAGUUAUCAGAACACCAGAAAUGGACCAACUAGAGUUUCAUAUCAUCAUCCAGAUAAACAUAACUUGUUGGCCCCCAAGUUAAUAUAACUGAAAAAUUAUUAUAGCCUCGUCUGAGCAGCCUUAAGGCGCAGGCCUGUGAGCCUCGCGCGUAGGCGCUAAGGAGAGCGCCUAUUUUAAUCACUACUAUCAGCUAGUUCUACAUCAGUGCAAUACACUGGUCCUCAUAAUCUCCUGUUUUAAGCCUUCCACCUCCCAUAUCAUCAGGACAAUUAAACGAACGAGGCUUCACGAAAUGAAAGCAAAGAAGUUUGCAACUCAAAAUAAAACUGAUGAUGAAGGAAAAUCUUAUAUGUGAUGUUGUGACAAUGCCAUCAGAGGCACCUAGGGAUGACCUUCCUCGAUUUUGCUAACUCAGAUUAUAUGCAAACCAUUCAAUUUUGCUAACUCAGAUUAUAUGCAAACCAGUAUAUACAGCAUUUUGUUUGAUGGCAAAAAACAAAAGUAUGGCAGUAACUUCUUAUUUCCUUAACAAGCAAAAGCAAAGAAAUGCAUCUGUAGAUGCUUUCAACCAUAUUGAGCUUCACGAAUGCCAAAAGAACUGCAAAAAGAAUAGGGAAGAAGGUAAAAGAGGCAAAAUAUGAGUAUAACAUUUGGAAAUUACUCAAUGCUCAUGAGAAAAAUCUAACAUGCACUAGGAAGAACCCUAACCAACCACAAAUGUGUACGCAAGUCCCAGCAAUAAACCUGCAGGCAAUGUAUAUGUGUACCAUGAACUGUGACAACACAGAAAACCAGCAUGUGGGAUCGAGAGGAUGCUGCACAAUAAUAUGGACCACAGGACGUUAAGUACUUGCUUGGACAAGCAUUGGAACAACACAUAGGACAAACAUAUUUGGAGCAAAGCUUAAUCAAAAUUGAGGCGGCCCCUUGAACAAAUUUAGAUACAAUUUCAACCAAAUUCAACUCAUUCAAUACUCCAGAAGUUUCUAAUGUAUAAUAUUGAAAGAAUAACUAUUGCCAUCAAGCCACAACAGGCAUUUGGAUUGGCUUAUAUAUGUGCAAUUCAUCCAUACACCAUGUUUGGUGAAAGUAGAAACUUAGUUCUGCCAACGGCUACAACAGCACCAAGGCUGUUGGCUCAAAUCCUUGAAAAUAGCUUCCGUCAAAAAAUACAGAAUCAUUUUUUUGUGGAAACCAUAUCUAUCAGUCCAUAAUGACGAGGAAAGAAAAAUCAUUUCUCCAGAUACCAAUCCAAAUUCUAAAUUGCUAAUGUCUCCACUCUUACAAACUUAUACUUGCGAAUUGCGGCUGAGGUGCACUUAGGACAGCCCAAACGCCUGCUAUGACUCAUAACUAGGAAGAGUGAUACCUACUAGGUUGUAGUUUAGCAUAAACUCAAGAAAUUGUCCGAUUAAAGCUUCUCUAGACGAAAGAGAUCAAGACUCAAAUGUGCCAGGAAAACAGCCCUGAGGUAACGUUCUGGUCAGAAUUACUUUUUUGCAUCAAACUAUGCUAUUUAUGGUCGUACUUGCCUGUACGCAGACCACAUUAUAUGUCAAAUAAUCUGCACAUAAUGUUUUGAAAUUUUCAUUAUCCUACAUAACAGUUUCAGAUGUUCAUGCAAUGAAUCACUAGAACAAAAAUCAGAUAUAAAGAUGAGACAUAAAUGUGUUAACUUCAGAGUGAGUUAUAACUCGUACAUGAAAUUGUCCAGGCACCAGAAAGUAAAGCGGCUACUGGGUCUUCUUCUCUUUUCUCGAUUCUCCAGUCUUGCUUAAGAUGUUGUCAUACUGCUUCAAAAAUAAACUGUGUGCAAUACCAAGCUUCUCAUCAACAUGAUCCUGGUAUUUGUCAUACAGAGCAGGUACAGUGAGAGAUAGGAGAAUCCCUGUAAAAAAGCCAAAGUCGACAUUUUAGACACAGAUCAAGAAGCAAAAAUGAUACCAACAGAAUCACUGUAAAAUAAAAUUCAACUAAGAACACACCAAUGUAGACAACUGUAAGGAAGUUGAAGAACCUUCCAAUAUACGAAACAAGCCACAAAACCAAGAUAACCUGUACGAAGAGAGUGAUCGAAGUUAUACACAAAACGACCGCAAGCUCACAAGGAGAACAGAGAUUCGUGACGGGAAAUAGAAUCACACCUCAAGGAACACCUUCCUAUCUCGCUUAAUGGCAAUGUCAUGGCCAAUAGCCAACACGCGGUUGAUCCACACUCUGGCCUCAUUCGCAGCCUUCUCUACGACCUCAUCGGACACUUCCAGAUUCGGAAGCGGCGGCAGAGGUCUAAAACGUCCAAAUUAGUAGCAAUAGAUCAUCAAUUCAUCAUCAUACUACACGCCAACAAAUUCUACUGAGAGCAACAAUGAGAUCGACAAUCCCCUAUACAACAACUGAUCUAGAAAUGAGAAGAAUCUAGAGAGGAAAAAGGGAAUCAAACCUGUUGAGGAGCAAGGCGGAUUUGGCCCAGAAGAAGAGGAUGGCGACGAGGAGGAGGAGGGCGUUGAGAGAGAGAGAGAGAGAGAGAGAGAGAGAGAGAGGGGCCUUUGGUUUUGGGAUCGAGUUAGGUUACCGGCGGCUAGGGAGGAGGAGGAGGAGCCACCGCGGCGGCGAGAGGUGGCGGCGGUGCCGGGGGAGCUCGAGGGCCCCGGCGCGGGCCGCUAGGCAGGUGGAGCGGGAGCCGCCGCCGAGUCCAGAGGGGGGGUUGGGUAGGGGAAGAGGAGGAAGAACAUGGAGAGAUCCCAAAAGGAAAGGGCACCACCACUACGUAUCUACGAAGGCACGAACAGGGUCACCGGCUGCACGAGGACACCGCCGCCUCCUCGCGGCGGCGGCGACGGCGCCGCACGCGGUGGCGCAAGACCAUGAAGAAGCUCGCGCGGCCCAUGUCGAAGGAGAGGCAGCAGCGNUAACGGCCGUUAGGUGGGCCCUCCACGUGCCAUCCACGUGAGCACGCUCGUAUGUUCUUUUUUUUUUUUUUUUUUUUUUUUUUUUUUUUCUUUCGGGGAGAAUGUGCGGAAGCCCCUUCACUAUAUUUAUUACAUGUGUAAAUGGUUCCUUCACUUUAAUCUUUUUUUUUAAUUUUAAAUCCUAAUGAUUUUAGUUAAAUUAAUUAAAAAUUAUAUCAAAUUUCUUAUUAAUUUUAUAAAAUUUUGGAAAACUAUAACAAGUUUUUACCAGAUUAAUUUCUGAGAAUCUAGUAAAUUGGGAAUUUGAUGUGUGAUGUUGUGGUUGGAUGCAGCAGUUGAGGUUUUGAAGAACUUUACUUAUAAUUUAUAAUAAAUAUGAUAACAAAUGAUGUUGAUGAUAAUAAUAAUAAAUUGUUGGUGGUAGGGCACUAGUUGAGGGGGCAUGGACAAGUAAAAUGACUACAAAAAAUGACUACAAAUAAUGACAUGGUCACAUGCAACCUAAAUAGUAAGUUCUUUUUUUUUUUCUUUUUCUUUUAAUAAGAUGCAUUAUUCUGAUCACAAACACGCGGUGCCAAAGAAGGUUCCGGAGUUGUACCUUUUCUUUUGUUAUUUUUCAUUAUAUUUAGUUACAUGUAGGACUAAAUUUAUCAGAAUUUUUUAACUUCGCAUCAACUUUGUUGUGACAUUUACGAAAAAUCUAAAAUGUUUAAAAUUAGUACACCAACAGUCACUCUCUCGCGAUUCACCAUCUAAUUAUUCACUAUUAAGUAUGUAGUACUAAGUAUGAAUUAAUUAAUAUCAAGGCUAAUUUGGUAACCUAUUGACUAAAAAUAUAGUUUUAUAUUUUAAAAAUUCCAAAAAAUAAACUCAAAAACACUUCCGAUCACUCCAAUGUUAUAACAUUACUUAAAAAGCAUAAAAGCAUAUAGUUACGCUUCUUCGGUGGCCAUUGCUAACAAGUGACAUGAAGAACAUAUGUCUCUGACUUGUUAAAAGGAUGUUUGGUUUUUUAAAAAAUAUUGCAAAAAAUUAAUUUUCUAGAUGAACUGCAAAGUAGGACUAAAUAAGGAAUAAAACAUACCAUAGUGGCUAGUUUGCAUUAUGCAGACAUACGCAUAAAAUGAAAGAGAGAAAGAGAACAAUACAACGUGCCUAUCAACAAACUCAUUUUCUGGAAAAUUAAUUNCAUAGUGGCUAGUUUGCAUUAUGCAGACAUACGCAUAAAAUGAAAGAGAGAAAGAGAACAAUACAACGUGCCUAUCAACAAACUCAUUUUCUGGAAAAAAAAAAAAAAAAAAAAGAAAGAAAAACCUAGAUCAUGCUCUAACAUAAACAUUGUUGCACCAUAGCAUUGUUGCAGCAUGCUCCCAAAUCUCUAAUAGUAAGAUUUAAGCCAGUGAGUUAGCUGAUCCUCUUAAAGAUCAAAAUCUAGUUGUAUCACUAUAAUGCGAAGUAACCCAUGUAAAUUUUUACAUUAAACACCGAAUGCGCGAGAAAGAGGAAAACAUUAACAAGUAAAACCCGAAUACGACGACAAAGAAACGAAAGACAAGCCUCCCCCUUUUCCUACAAUGAUCAACUUCAAGUCGGCUUCGCUUAAUGAUCGCUUCGCACGUUACAAAGAUUAAUGCUGCAAAUUUGCUUGACGUUGCGUCGAUUUUGAUUUGCAAAAAGGAGAACACAAAAGAACAGAGAUCUACUAAAUAAACCAUUUCCUCACCAAGUGUGUGUAUUGACCUGCCAUUAGUAAGUUCGCCAGAGUACUUUUCCUGCCUCGGCCGGAGAAAAAGUUGGAGCUAACUGAAGUACAAGCUCAGAAUAUGUCUUGUCGGAUUGAACCCAAUGAGUAUCACUAUGAAGUAGAAAAAAAAAAUGAACAAAAGCAUGGUGAGAUGAAGGGCUUAAACUUAGAUUUAUGUGGUCCAGCAAUAAUGCUAAUACUUACUAAGAGGGGAGAGGAUGAAAACGAGCCCAAUCGGGUACAAGAAGAAAGUAGUUCUGUCCAAGAACGGAAGGACUGCAGCAACGAAUACAAGACCAAGAAAUCAUAUGUUAAAAAAUAAAAUCAUUAGUAUUAUUGGGUGCAUUUGUAAGUACAAUGUUUUACAUACCAUCAUAUCCUAGGAAGUUCAGAUAGUGGUAGUAAGAGAUUGCGACCAUGAAAAGCAAAUUUGAUAGCAGAACGGGAAAGAAGCCAUGUGCGACCAAAAUAGGAGACAAAAAGUAGUGAAUUACUGUGAGAGGAACUAGUAGUCAGUGAAAAAUACUCAGAUAACUGCAAAUAAUAUUUAAUAUAAAUGUCAAGAUUUUGUUGAAAACAAAAUAAAAUGAUAAAAUUACCGUAAAGUAAGAUGAAUGCUGGAAAGAAUGAGUUGCAGUGAACAUCAAAAGCAUAUAGCCUGAAAAGGGGGGAGAAAAAAACAGCGACUUAUGAUAGUGUUUGUGAUAAUGCCAACAGCAGGUAAUUCACAUGAUAUGACCCCCCCAAAAUACAGGCAAGACUAAAGGAAAGAAAGAUACAUAAGUUAUUUGUGGUAUCAUAGUAAAUAAAUAUAACAAUUAAGAAACUAACAGGGAUAUGAUGAACACUUGAAGACCCUUCGUUCUAUGUUUAAUCUUCUACAAACAAUUUACUCUAAGUAGUGCUGGCCUUCCCCCUCAAGUUCCCUAUGGGGCUAUUCAGUUCUCGAAAUAGAUAUAUUUUAAAGCAAAUCUAGUUCUUCCCUCAGAUAUUUAGUUAAUAAUAGAAAAGACGAAUGAAGAACAACUAGAAGGAACAUAUGAUUAUUUGAAGUGUGGUGUCCAAAUAUAUGCACAAGAAUAUAAAAUUAUGAGUUCUCCAUGAGAUACCAUUCAACACGUUGCUCGACAACAUGGCUGUUAGGCACCUCUUCACGCAAAUACGAAUUUGUUAGAAACCUACAGCAAACAUCAAAAUCGCACAUUACUUUUCUGAAAUAGCAAUUGCCUCUAAAUAUUGCAAUAAAGAUGACUAAUAUUUUGGUGAAAUCAAAAUAAUAACCACAAGUACUCUACUAUGAUAGAUUGAAAGAUCCAUACAAAUUAGUAAAAGGUUGUUUUAAUUAGUCAAUUACAAGAGUAGGCAAUAGGAAGUUACUGUUGGAUUUUGCUUUGAAAACAAAAUUAACAAAGGCAGGUUCCAACAUAGUUAGAAAGAAUAUACAAUAUAAAUGAUUUGAAAUGAAAUGUACACUCACAAGAGAGGAAAACUAAGAGGAAAUCCAUUAGAAAUUAAUCUUCACAGACCUGAUCAUAUUCCAAAAAUCAAAAUACAAGCUCUCUUAAAAAAAAAAAAAACCUUCACCAUAAUCAUUUUUAAAAGCACGAUAACAGUCUAACAGCUACAUAUAUAUAAUAUCAAUUUUACAGACCACAUGAGCAUUCUUUCUGGUUAGGACCACUCAAGAACCAGUUGAGAUAGAAAUGCAGUUACGAAGUGAUGAAUAGUUCUCAAGGUUCCUGAAGGAAAAGAAAAGGAGCUAUGCAAGUGCUCUAUGUAAUCAAACAGACAUCCAAAAUGAAUAGAUAAAAGCAUGGACAACCUAUUGAAAGCAGGGAGCGCCACCAUCACAAUAGGGUUAGUCUCUAAACUACAUACAGCUUAAGUUUCAAUUUAGUGCCUGUAUUUGUAAAAUUUGGUCAAACUUUAGUGCCAUCAAGUAUCAACAAAGCCCACUUCGUGCACUAUCAGCGAUACCUAGAUUCUUCAGAUGCAAUCACCUAUUGGAGGAUACUGUGUAAACUGAGGCAUAGAUAGGAUAUCAAGUUCUUAGCUACCUCGUUAGAUGUCAUUAUACACCAAAUUAAUUUGAAGAUGCAAGAAACAUUUCUAAUAGCAUCAUCAUUCAUGAAAAUCAAGCAUUAAAAUACAGGUAAAACUAUAAAAGCACUUAAGUACUCAGGUUACUGUAUUCGAAAGUGCAAGUACAAUCUUUUGAAAGCAGUUAAAACAAUGUCAUGCCAUUAAAGCUGCUGACAGCAGCAGCAUUAUAUACAACCAUAACUGAUAGUCAAAAUCUGUGAUGUAAAAAAGCCUAGGGGCGUUCAAGAUUCAAAAUCUUACCAACAACAUGUGGCCAAAACAAUUCCAGCUAAUAAGAAAUGGACAAGUACAACAGAUGUAAUUGUAAAAACGGUAUGUGCUGCACUAUCUCCAUACCUGAUUUGAUGGAAGAAAAUGUAUACGUUGAUAACAAUAUUAAACAAAUAAUCAAAAAAAGCAAUAAGUAUAAUAAUAAGUCAAUAACUCAUCAGAGGAAACUCCAAAAAUUAAAGGACGUGCAAAAAUAUUUCUUCUUACCCAAAAUAUAUCCUCUUCUACAAGUUGUGAAGUUUUUUUGACUAGAAACGAAAAAAAAAAAAAAAUCGAACAGGUAAAUAGAUAAAUAUGAAAGAAAAAACUUACGCAACACAAUAAGCUAAAGUGGCAAACACAAGAAAAAGACAGAAGAUGACGACAAAAGCAGGAUCAUCACGAGCCCAUUGGUUCUUUGUUUCUGGAAAAUAAGGAAAACUAUAAGUUCCAUAGAAAUAAACAAUACUUCAAGAGAACAGGACAAUUAAUAUUAGUUCAUGCAUAUAUGAUUUCUUACAAUAAGGAGGAACAUUUUUAUGAACAUGAAUGACUAAAGAGAGUGCAUAUGCGUUACCAUAAAGAUAUUAAUUAACCAUAUACAUAUUAUAUAAGAUGUGUAACUAUAAAUAUUGCUCCACAAAUUGGAAUGCACUCUUAACAUCAGAAUUGUUAAAGGUAGAUCACUUACGUUUAUGAUAUUUUGUGUGCUGAUAGCUGUCCAAAAGAGUACAUUACAUGCAAGAAAAAGAGACAUAAUACAAAUCAGCCUUUUUACUAGAUAAUACCAAGGAAUAGUUUAAAAAAAAAAAAAAAGCAAACCAAAGAUGUCAGAAAAAAGAUUAUUGCAUCUUGUUGAAUGCACUCUUAACCAAUUAAUCAGCCAUUUCAUGCCCAUCGGCUUUAAAGACUCACUAAAUUUGUUAUCAACCGUCAGAUAACAUUAUAUAUAUGAUUGACACUACGAACAUGUUGCACCAACGAGUCCUUGCAACAAAAAGGUUGCCAAGCAAUGACAGGUAUGAUGUCCAAAGAACCCCAUUAUACUCUACGGAAGAGAAAACAUACUAGAAUAUUCAUUAACGCUGCAAGUACAUUAAUCUGACAAAAUAUUUGCUAAAAUUCUACUGUAUAUCUUAAUUACUGCAUACACAUCCAUCUGAAGUUCUGAACUAUAACUUUGAGCAUGAAACCUGAAUAUAAAAUAAGUAUUUUCACCGAUGCGAAUAGAAUGAAAUGGAAUAAGGAAAGAUGCAUACACAACUUUCGGCGAGGUGCAAAGAUGAAGCAUUUGCCAGAAUGUAUACUCGAUGUCCAUUUGUUGCCACUACGAUAAGAAAAAUUAACAAGUAAGAUGAGACGACAGAAGUCUGUUCAGACAUAAUGAUAAACAUGAACUAUUCACCAACAUGCAUGAGAUCAAUCUAAAAAUGGCUUCCCAGUACAAAAACUUGCAAGGAUCUGCAGAGUACUAAUAUUGAAAGUAUGUCGGACAAGCUUCAUCAAUAAUCAUCAAACCACAAGAAAAAAGCACAUGAUAGCACAAUGAGAAGCCACGAAUAUCUUCCAGAUUGUAUCAGCCUAAAAGACUCUUGCACUCUACAAAAAGCGUACGAAGAAUCUCGCAGUUUGUUUGCUAAAAAAAGAAAGCCCUUGUACUUUAUGCCAUCCCAAACAGGUCCAAAAAUUCAGAAUGAUUGCAUAACUCCAUUGGAACAGGUUGGCGGAUGACAAUGUCAUAUCAAAUGGAGUACGGUCACAUAAAUAUUAUAACAAUUUUCGUAUACUGCAAAACAUGGAACCCUAUCGAAAUCCAAGCAGUCGUAGAUCUCCCCUAGCACUUGAGUUCCACCUUAUGGCCAUAAAUUAUGCAGCUUAGUUCACAAAAUUGAACAGAAAUGCAGAUCCUAGCAUCUAAAUUCACUUCAGAAACAAUUCAAUCCCAUUUUCUGAUCAUUUACACCAAUUCCCAAUCUAGCAAACAACAAGAUGCUCGUUUCUCCUCCACUGAACUGAGAUCAACAUUAAUAGAUCGAAAAUUCGAGUAUUAGAGCUGCGCAACGAGGAUCUAAACCCUAGUUAUAGGCAGGAGGGGAGGGAUCGAACCUUGAUGAUUCUUCGGAGGUAUUGGGGGAACAAGGGCGGCGCGGGUCGGAGAGAGGAAGAGGGCGUUCGCCCUUUCGACACCGUCGGAAGCAUCGCCUCCUCUUCUUCGAUCGAUCGCGCUCUCUCUCUCUCUCUCUCUCUCCCGAUCGAACGAUCGAUCGAAUCAAAUCGAUUGAACUCUUUUUCUUCUGUUUUUUUUUUUUUCCCUCACUUUCUCUCUCUCUCUCUCUCUCUCUCUCUCUCUCUCUCUCUUCCUUCGUUCGCCUUCGAGAUCUGAGUGGUUAUUUUUCUUUUAUUUUUAUUUUUAUUUUUAUUUUUAUUUGAUCGACGGUGAGAUUUGGCGAGGAGUCGUUCGUCGCCUCAACUCGGCCUACUAAAACUCUGCAAUGUAUACUAAAUUUUUAAUUUUUAAUUUUAAAUUUCAAAUUUUUAAAUUUAAAUUAAAUGAAUGUGAAGAACUUGGUUAGACACAAAUACUUACUGUUGGACAACUACGUAAUUUUUGAAAUUGUUUAUUUUAGCAUUUUUUUACUUUUAAUUAGUAUGACUUUUUGAGCUGUUAUUACAUGAAUCAUGUGAGAAACUAUAAUUAAAUUCAUUAGAAUAAAUAUUACAUUGAAUUUCAGUACUCCAAUUAUUAUUAAAUAGCUUGAAUUACUUGAAUUAAUAAGUUAUUUAGCAGAAUAAAAUUGGUGGGGUAAUUUUUAAAAAAUACAUCGUACUUAAAAUUACUCCAUGCAAUUUUACCCAAAAAAAUUGGGAUGUGGGACAAAAUUGUUAUUUGGAUAUAGCAUUUUUUAGAAAAGCAUUAUAUUAAGAUCCUUUAAAAAGUUACCAUCUCAUAAUGCUCAACCUGAAACCCAAAAUGAUUUUGAGACCAUUAUGUUCAAAUUAUGAGCCUUAUAAAUAUAAACUCUUAAGCGAUUUUGAUUGAAUUGUAAAAUAAGUUAGAAAUUAUAUUUAGACUUCGUUUGAAAUUACAGAAAAAUUACAUUAUGUGCGGUAAGAAAGUACGAUAAAAAAAUACCCUAUUUGUUUCCGUAAAUAGAGACAUAUUCUUAUAUACUUUUUUCCUAACUCCAUUUUAUCUAACAGCGUCAGAUAGACCUCAAUACCAAACUAAGCCUUAAUAUAUUUCACCUUUUCUGAUAAAAUUACUUACAAAUCGCUUUAUUAAACAACAAUACACUCAACAACAAAACUAAACAAAGGCUUUGUUUGGGAUUGUUGGGAAAUUGUGUUAUGUGUGGUGAGAAUGUAGGAUAGAAAAAUAUUUCGUUUGUUUUUAAACGUAAUAUUACGUUCCGCAUAUCGCGAUAAAUCGGUUAUUAUAUAUUUUCUGCAGUCCCAUCGGGAUACCAAACUAAGCCAAAGACAUAAUACGCUUCAAAGGCUAGGAUAAACCCAGUGGACUAUAAAUAUUUGGGCCAUGAACGGUCCAAGCCGGUCCAAGAAAUAAAGUGUGGAUUUAAAAUCCGAGCUCCGGUCCAAUUUGACAUACAUAAGAACGUAGUACUUAGGCCUGUAUGGGCCCAUAAGCUCGGCCUAAUUGGGUCGGAUUUAGGCCUAAUAUCCCCGUAGAACUCUCAAAAGAUCCAAUAUAAUACCACUUAACCCAAAUAAUUGGAACGAGAAAAAAAGAGUUCUUAUAUCCUCAUUUUGAAAAUGCUUCUUUUAGCAAAAUUUAUUUCAAAUAUAUAUAAAUGAACGUGAUUCCUAAAGAAUUUUCUAUGUGCCCGGUGCAAUUCUACCCCUUUUUUGGAUAAAAAUAUACGAGAUUCACCUGAACUAUGGACUCUCGAAAUUUUAAUUUUACUAAUCAUCAUUUCAAUUUGUUUGAUUUGACUCAGUCAAUGAUACUCUGACUUUAAAUUUUGAAUGCGGUGUUUAUAUAUAUUUACAUAUUUAAUUAGCAUACUUUAUAUAAAUACUCGUAACUAUAAAUUUAUUAAAAUAAAUAAUUAACUUAUAUUUUGAAGUUAAAGUAUCAUCGGCCAAUUCAAAUCAAAUAAAUUGAAAAAUCUAAAAUCAAAGUUUUAAAAAUUAGACAACAGACUCAGAAUAGUU
rnacentral:lncRNA from 1 species